rnacentral:lncRNA from 1 species
AUAGCAAUCUUUCAUGGAGAGAAACCUUAGUCUCAGUAUGAUCACUGUGUCAUUAACCCACUGCCUGCUUCUUUGCUUGGUUGUUGCAGCAGCAGCAGCAGCAAGCAGCAAUAUUACCACAGACCAACAAGCUCUUCUUGCCCUGAAAGAUCAUAUAAUUUAUGAUCCGACCAACCUUUUAGCCAAUAAUUGGACCUCGAAUAACUCUGUUUGUACCUGGAUUGGCAUCACUUGUGAUGUCAAUAGCCACAGAGUCACAGCCUUAGAUAUUUCUCAAUUCAAUCUACAAGGCACCAUCCCUCCUCAACUUGGAAACCUCUCUUCACUCACAACACUAAAUCUUAGUCAUAACAAGCUUUCUGGAAGCGUUCCCUCCCCCAUCUACACCAUGCAUACGCUAAAAUUUCUUGACUUCACCGAUAACCAGCUCUCUGGUUCAGUGUCUUCCUUCGUCUUCAACAUGUCUUCAAUAGUAGAAAUUCGUUUGACCAAUAACAGAUUUUCUGGUGUGCUUCCGAAAAAUAUUUGCAACUAUCUUCCUUAUUUGAAAGCCCUUUUCUUAAACAAAAACAUGUUUCAUGGCAAAAUUCCUUCUGCUUUAUCAAAGUGCAAAACUCUGCAAAUAUUAUUGUUACACUUCAAUAAUUUAUCCGGUGCAAUACCAAAAGAAAUCGGCAACUUGACUAUGCUCAAAGGCAUAUAUCUCGAAUACAACAAACUCCACGGUAUGUUCAUAAUACUAUGUAAAUGUUUUAAUUUCUCACUUGUUAUUUUUCUUGAAUACUUUAGAUAAGAUCUAGUAAGUGAGAUUUUUUGGAUCUGUGUUAAUUUGCCAGGUGAGAUACCCCACGAAAUCGCUAAUCUUCCAAAUCUAGAGGCUUUAGUGCUUGGAAUGAACAACCUAGUUGGUGUGUUACCAGCUCCAAUCUUCAACAUGUCAACACUGAAGGUACUUAUCCUCAUAAAUAACUCUCUCUCCGGAAGUCUCCCAUCAAGAAUAGACCUUUCACUUCCAACUAUGGAGCAUCUUAACUUGGCACUUAAUAGAUUUUCUGGAACCAUUCCUAGUUCCAUCACCAAUGCUUCUAAGCUCACCUUUAUAGAGUUGAGAGGAAACACAUUUUCGGGGUUUAUUCCAGACACAAUUGGUAAUUUAAGAAACCUUGAGUGGCUCAACUUGGCUAAUAACUCCUUGACAUCUUCAACCUCAAAAUUGAGCUUUCUUUCCUCUUUGGCAAAUUGCAAGAAAUUAAGAGUCAUAGGCUUAACAGGCAAUCCACUUGACGGCUUCCUUCCAAGUUCAAUAGGUAAUCUUUCUGUGUCUUUGGAAAUACUUUUCAUCGCCAAUUGCAGUAUUAGUGGCAACAUUCCUCAAUCAAUUAGCAAUUUAAGCAACUUGAUGAUCUUAGCAUUAGAAGGAAAUAAAUUGACUGGACCAAUUCCAAUUACAUUCGGCCGACUGCAGAAACUCCAAGGCUUACAUCUUCAAAUCAAUAAGUUGGUAGGUUCAUUCCCAGAUGAGCUUUGCCAUCUAGGUAGGCUGGCUGAAUUGGCCUUAUUGGACAAUAGGCUUUCAGGAUCUAUACCUUCUUGUGUAAGUAAUCUCACUUCUCUAAGAUCUCUCUAUUUAGGGUCCAAUAAGUUUACUUCUGUUAUUCCCUCAACCUUCUGGAGGCUAAAAGACAUCUUGUUCUUUGACUUUUCAUCAAAUUUCUUGGUUGGUCCUCUUUCUUUAGAUAUAGGAAAUUUGAAGGUGCUUCUAGGAAUAAGUUUAUCAAAAAAUAAUUUAUCCGGUGAUAUCCCAGCCACAAUUGGAGGACUGAAAGAUCUUCAAUUUAUGGACCUAGCAUAUAAUAGAUUGGAAGACCCAAUUCCCAAAUCAUUUGGUGACUUGACAAGUUUGGAGUUUUUGAAUCUGUCAAAUAAUAAAAUCUCUGGGUCUAUUCCAACAUCCAUGGAGAAACUCUUUUACCUCCGAGAGUUAAAUCUCUCUUUCAAUAAACUAGAAGGUGAGAUUCCUAGUGGAGGAAUUUUUGCCAACUUCACAGCUGAGUCAUUUAUGGGAAAUGAGUUAUUGUGUGGUUUACCAAAUCUUCAAGUCCAACCAUGCAAAAUUAGCAAGCCGAGGACAGAACAUAAAUCAAGGAAAAAGAUACUGCUCAUUGUGAUUGUUUUGCCAUUGAGUAUUGCUCUAACGAUAGCAAUCACUCUAGUUCUCAAAUAUAAGCUGAUCGAAUUUGGAAAAAGAAGCACAGUGUUAUCAAAUGAUAGUAUCUUGUCAUCACAAGCAACACUAAGAAGAUUUUCAUACUUAGAACUUUUACAAGCAACAGAUAAUUUUGCUGAAAACAACAUAAUUGGCAUAGGAGGUUUUGGUUCUGUUUAUAGAGCAAGACUUGAAGAUGGGAUGAAGAUUGCAAUAAAAGUGUUUCACCAGCAAUGUGCAAGCGCAUUGAAGAGUUUUGAGGCUGAAUGUGAAGUGUUAAAAAAUAUUCGCCAUCGAAAUCUUAUCAAAGUUAUCAGCAGUUAUUCAAACAAUGACUUCAAAGCAUUAGUCCUAGAAUACAUGUCCAACGGGAGCUUGGGGGAUUGGUUGCAUUCCAGCAAUUAUAUGCUUAAUAUAUUUCAAAGGUUGAACAUAAUGAUUGACGUUGCAUCAGCUUUAGAAUAUCUCCACUUCGAUCAUUUACCUCCUAUUAUUCAUUGUGACUUAAAGCCUAGUAAUGUAUUGUUGGACGAAAAUAUGGUUGCUCAUUUGAGUGAUUUUGGCAUUGCAAAGCUUUUAAGUGGAGAGGAUGAGUAUGUGAUGCGAACAAAAACCCUUGCCACUAUAGGUUAUAUGGCACCAGGUUUGCUUCAAACAACUUUUUUUUAGUUCAUUUUAAAUUUUCCAACUUAUUGAUUUUUACAAUCCUCACAUCAAAAUGUUAUUGAUUAUUUAUCUAAUUGUGAAAUUAAUUUGAUUCAUAGAGUAUGGCAUAGAAGGAGAAGUAUCUACAAAAAGUGAUGUGUACAGCUAUGGGAUUAUGUUAAUGGAAACUUUUACCAAGAAAAAACCCACAGAUGAAAUUUUUGUUGGAGAAUUGAGCUUAAAGCGUUGGGUUAAUGACUUGCUUCCUACUUCAUUAGUGGAAGUUGUGGACAAAACUCUGCUAAGUGGAGAGGAAAAACUUUCUGCAGCAAAGGAGCAAUGUCUGUUGUCUAUCUUUAGCUUGGCUCUGGAGUGUACAAUGGAAUCACCGGGAAAGAGGAUUAAUGCAAAAGAUAUUGUUACAGGAUUACUCAAGAUAAGAGACACAUUGAGUAAAAGGAUAGGAAACUUAAGUUAAUUUCGUUUGCUUUCAUUGAUAGUUAAUUCAAAUUCAUGUAAUAAGUGUAAGAAUCUUAUAUGCUUUCCUUAGAUUUUUUUUUGUUUGAGAAAACUGUUGUAUUCAUCUUGUUUCCAUGGGCAGAGUUGAUUUAGUUCUUCCAAGAAAUGCUACUGAUGACCUUUGUUUUAUACUUUCGCUUUUUUUUGCAUGUGUUUCGGUAGAAUAGUGGUUUGGCUCACUCAAAGAAGUCAAACUGCACUAAAAGAAUAUGAUUUAAUUUAUUAAACAAAACUUCAAGUUCAAGAAAAGUAUCUCACUGCCCCCAAUGCUUUGGACACCUAUUGGUAGGUUUGUACGUGUCCUCAACUUUUUUUUAGAGCACAAAAUUCGAGUCCCAUGGAGACUCAAACAUUCCUUUUCCGCAUCCCGAGCGUGCUAAAUUCAUCAGACUGACAAUUGGGACAUAUAGAAGAGUGAAAUGUUUGGAGCACGCUAAGUUCGAGCGAAAGAGAUUAAUUUACAGAAACUAAAGCCAAGAGAAUAAAGGACAACACUUAUGUGAAGCGACAUAAUUGUAUUGAUAGCACAAUGUCAAAUUCAUACAGAGAUCUAGUAUACUAUUUACAGCCGGUAAGGGCUAAGAAUUGAUGUAGCUAGAAUACAAAGACGAUAAGGUAUGUUGUGCACUAUUGUUUUAUUCUACGAUCAAUCUUGACCCUUGAUGCUUGGCUCUCAAUCUUGUCCAUUGAUCUUCUUUGAUUUUGUACACUUCAAGACCUUUCAGUAUCAUUCCUUGUUGUUGGUGUCUUCCGUGCUGUAGAAUUCAUAUACAAGCCUUCCCGCCGACUUGCGAAGUAUUCGUUCAUUGAUGCAUUUUAUCAAACAGCUGGGCUACUUAUACCAAACACCGCGUGGUUUAACUCCCCCUCUCUAGCUUAACUAUCUGGGAAGGCAAUUAAUUGAGAUAUGAAUUAGAAAAUUAAAUUUUAAAAAUUAUAUUCGGACUCUACAUUUUGUAAUGAACAUUGGUUUGACUUGUUAUACAUUUACGCGUACAUAAUUAAUAACCGAUUCUCAAGUGCGGACAUUCAAGAGCACUGCUUAAAGACCAAAUAUUUUGAUUUACUAUUUUUUGUCUUUCAAUUUUCUUUUACGUUCUGAUGACGUCCGCAUUUUAAAAUCCUGUGGAACAAAGGUCGAAUUGUAGAGGGUAAGCAAACAUUUAUCCGAAUUAUAUUAUGAUAAAUCCUUUUCCAAUUAGAAUUAGGAAACCAUAGAUAUACUGAUUUUUUUUGUUUAAAUGAUUUUGUGAUUUACUUGAUUGAUUGAGUGAUUGAAUAUUGUUUGAUUGCUUCAUAUCAAUUCUAGAAAGUUUAUUUCUUUGUGAAAUUUCAACGAAAUAUGUUUUUUAAAAUAAUAAAGGUGUUUUAAGUAAUUUUAAAAAAUAAAUGGACUAAUUAGAAUUAAUUAUUAAGUAAUUAACUCGAACUGUAGAGGAUAAGCAAACAUUUAUCCUAAUUAUAUUACGAUAAAUCAUUUUCCAACUAGAAUUAGGAAACCAUAGAUAUGCUGAUUUUGUUUUUUUAAUUUCUCUUUGCGAAAACGGAUUAGAGAACUAGAAAACAAUCCUAGUGAGACUAUUGUUAGGUUUAAAACACUGCAUAGAUGGUAAAAACAUGCGUGGUGAAUAUUUUGUCGCAUGCAAACUUUUUGUUUUAUGCAAAUCGUGCUGAACAUUGGGACUGAUGUUUAAGAAAAAAAUUCUGUAGUUAAAGAAAAACAAAAAAAUUCUGAUGUUUAUGCAAAAAUAGAUUACGAUAGUUUAUUCAAUUGGGAGUUUUUUUUUCUUUAAUUUUUGUUGUACUUGAUUGAGAUUUCUCCUUAGUCCUUACCGUCUUAAGUUUGGAUACCGUAGGAUUAGUAAUUUCGUACUUCCUUUGCAAGCUGAAUAUAAGGAUGAAAUUUUUUUAAGAAAUUAAAAAAAAAAGAUUAAAAAAAGGGCAUACCAGUAGGCAAUUAUAAAUUAACCACAAAUAAAUAUAAACAAAAUGUUUAUGAAGUAAAUUAAACAUGCACAUAUUAUUUUCUUUUAUUUUCUGCUUGGAAACCCAUAAAUACACUAAUCCAGUACUACUAAUUUCAGACCGAAAAAUUUGAACUCUAGGCUGCAGUUUGACUCAAAAUGAUGAUCACUGGCUUCGCACCAUUUAACCGGUAUACAUUUCUACAAACUGAACAAGGCUAUUGAUUAUUAUUAUUAUUAUUAUUUUAAUUUGUUUAUAAAUUACUAUUUUAAUUUUCACUUUUUAUUGGGUUGUUUAACGGAUUAGUGAAGUUGGUGGUCGUUGAUGCACUCACAAGGUACAAUUUUAUUUUAUAAUUUCAAAUUCGUAUUUUAAAAUGCAGGCACAUUAUGUAUACAUAAUUAUUGAUUUUCAUAUGUGGGUGUUUUGAAAUAUUGCCAAAAGACCAAACUUUAAUAAACUAUUUUUGAUCUUUUUUUUCCUUUUUAGCUAAAGUUUGAGUGAUAUCCGCAUUUUAAAUUCAUGUGGAACAAAAGCUAAUGUAUGCACAAAAUUCUUUUAUUUUUUCCGAGAAAAAUGGGUAAGAGAAGAAGAUUUUUCUCUUGAAAAAAGAAAAACCAAUACGAUGCAAGCAUAGGAAAGAGUUCAGUGUUUUGGAUUUGAAUUUAGUAUUGAGCUGAAUUUUAUGCUAAGCUCUUUUAUAGUACUGCUAAUAAUAAGCUCAGGAUUUGCUUUUGCUUUUACGUCAAGUAAAAGAAAGAGGAAACCUUUUGUUUUCUGUUUGAUUUUUGACUAUAUAUGUUACCUAUAUAGAGAGUUGAGGUAGCUGCCUUAAGUGAUGGUGAUAAAAAGAUUAAGCAACGCACACAAUCUUACUGUUGUCCAGACCAUCCAGUGAUGCUCUAGUUUUUUGGUUACAUUAGCUUUAGUGGAAAGAAGGGUCAAUUUAACAAAGACUAGAUUUGGUGGCUUACUAUAAUGCUUAUUCUCAGGGAAUCUAAUGUUAUAAGAUGAUUGAAUGAUCUUCUAUGAUUGUGUGUAGUACAAUAUAAUUGAAAGGAACCUGGGCUCCUAUGAUGAAUAACAGCAACACAUUACUAUGAUUGAGAAAACUCAGUUACAAUAAACUCUUCAUUUAUUCAUUGCUGAGAUUGAAUGGCAAACAGAGAAUAGAAUGAAGCAGAGGAAUCUCAUUGCCGGUAAAAUUGACCAUAUUUAAUGUUACUUGCAGUUUUUAUUGUAAAAUAUAUAGGUAUUGUCAAAGCCGGUGGUGGCCUAGCCAAAAUCAAAUUGGCUUUGGCAGCCGCCCAAAGAAAUAAACAAAAGAGAAAUAGAAGAAAAAGAGAUGAGGGAGAUGCCGCCUAAAGAAAUGAAGCACACGGCUUUGACUUGUUCUAAAAAAAAAAAAAGAGCCAAAAUUUUUUGCUAUAUAAAGUGGGCUUCCCACCCUCAUUUUUGCAUUCCAUUUAAGAGAGAGCAAUCUAGUAUUUUUUGAGAGAGAGUUUUGAGAGCUUGAAAUUAUAAGCUUUUGUUAUAGAAAUUUGAGAGUUUGGGUGUAUUGGGGUUUUGGGAAGUGGGCUAAAAUACUACAAUACUUGUAAUUUCUUUUUACUAAUAAAAUAUUUCCUUCUGUCUUCGCCCGUGGACGUAGGCUAAAAGCCGAACCACGUAAUUUCUAAUAUUCUCUUUUGUGAUUGUUUUUUAUUCUUCUUCCAAUUUUAUUUUAGCUGCAGUCCUGCUUCACCCACCAAUUUCCUAAUAGUGGUAUCAGAGCUAUUGGUUGUAUUUUUUGGAGUCGGGUACUAUUCACGUAAGGGUACUAUUCACAUAUAUGGUAUUGUUCACGUAUACGAUACUAUUCACGUGAAAUGGUGAGAGCGAUCCAAGAAUUUGGCGGUGCAAAAGUAGGGAAUAGUGGUGUGAGUAAAACAACUGUGUGGUUUUGUACAUGUCUAGGAAAGUUCUGUCAUAAAGACGAUAAGAGCUUAAGGAGUCUGGGUUUUAAGUGGGACCAUUGUGACCCCUCCAGUCUUUCUUGGAAACUUUCCUGGUGUGCAUAUUCACACAUACUCACAACUAUUUAAGGUGAUACACUAGUUUGUGUACAAUAUUUAUUAACAAAAUGGCGGCAAAGUAUGAAAUUAAGAAAUUUAACGGAAAUAAUUUUUCGUUGUGGAAAAUAAAGAUGAAAGCUGUAUUGAGGAAAAAUAAUUGCUUGGCAGCAAUUAGAGAAAGGCCUAUGGAGAUAACUGAUGACAAGUGGAACGAGAUAGAUGGCAACGCCAUUUCUGAUUUACACUUGGCGCAUGCAGACAGAGUAUUAUCCAGUCUGGCAGAGAAAAAUACAGCAAAGGAAAUAUGAGAUACACUCACAAAAUUGUACGAGGCCAAGUCACUACACAACAAAAUCUUCUUGAAGAGGAAACUCUAUACUCUUCGAAUGACGGAAUCUACAAUGGUGACUGACUACAUCAACAUCUUGAAAACUCUAUUUUCACAACUCACAGUGUUGGGUUAUAAUAUAGAGGAGAAUGAACGUGCAGAGCUUCUACUUCAAAGUCUACCAGAUUCGUAUGAUCAACUCAUCAUCAACCUGACAAACAACAAUCCAGCGGACAGUCUAGUUUUCGAUUAUGUUGCAGCCUCCGUAUUAAAUGAGGAGAGCAGGCGGAAAAAUAAGGAAAACAGCAAGCAAGUUCGCAUCAAGCGGAGACGCUAUUGGUGACGAGAGGGAGAUCAACGGAACGUGGCCCCAGUGAGAGUCAAAAUCAUGGUAGAUCAAAAUCUAGAAGUAAGAAGAAUGUUAAAUGCUACAAUUGUAGCAAGAAAGGGCACGUCAAGAAAGAAUGUUGGAGUAAUUAGAAGAGAAAAGAGGGCAAAGAACCUGAGUCAUCAAAUGCUCAGGGUUGUGUAGCAAGUACCUCGGAUGAUGGCGAAAUUCUCUACAGCGAGGCAACAACUGUUUCAGAAGGCAGAAAACGACUAUAUGAUGUUUGACUUAUAGACUCAGGAGCUACCUGGCACAUGACCUCUCGGAGAGAAUGGUUCCACACAUAUGAACCUAUCUUAGGAAGAUCUGUAUAUAUGGGUAAUGAUCAGGCCUUGGAGAUCACUAGUAUUGGUACUAUCAAAAUAAAAAUGUUUAAUGGUAUAAUUCGCACAAUUGGGGAGGUACGACAUGUCAACGGCUCUAAGAAAAAUCUUUUGUCUUUGGGACAAAUGGAUAGUCAUGGGUACAAAACUCAUGUGGAGAAUGGAAUUAUGAAGAUCGUUAAAGGCGCGCUUGUAUUGAUGAAGGCAGAAAAGAUCAAUGCUAAUCUAUUCAUGCUUAAAGGAGAAACACUACAGGAGGCUGAUGCGUGUGUUGCAUCAAAUGAAGAAGAGUCAACGAUGAUGUGGCAUCUCAAACUUGGCAACAUGUCGGAACAAGGUUUGAAGAUUCUCUCUAAGCAAAAAUUGCUUCCGGGGCUCAAAUCGGUAAAUUUACCAUUUUGCGAGCAUUGUGUUACAAGUAAGCAGCAUAGAUUAAAAUUCAAUAGAUCUAUUGCUAGAAGUAAAUGCAUUCUAGACUUGAUUCAUUCUAAUAUUUGAGAAUCACCGAAUAUAUCCAUAGGAGGUGCAAAAUACAUGGUGACUUUCAUUGAUGAUUAAUCCAGAAGAUGUUGGGUGUAUCCAAUUAAGAAAAAGUCAGAUGUAUUUUCAGUGUUUAAAGAAUACAAAGCGUGGGUGGAACUUGAAUCUGGUAAAAGGAUAAAGUGCUUGAGGAUAGAUAAUGGUGGAGAGUAUACAAAUGGCGAGUUUCUUGCUUUCUGUAAACAAGAAGGUAUCCAAAGGCAUUUCACGGUGGCAUACACUCCUCAAUAAAAUGGAGUGGCGGAGCGGAUAAACAGAACUCUUACAGAAAGAAUAAGAGCUAUGUUGAGGACUGCUAGUCUACCCAAUUUAUUCUGGGCAGAAGUAGCCAAAACUGCUUGUUAUAUAGUAAAUAGGUCGCCAUCUACAGCCAUUGGGCUGAAGACCGCGAUGGAGAUGUGGACUGGAAAGCCAGCUGAUUAUUCCUACCUACAUGCAUUUGGAUGUUCUAUGUACGUGAUGUACAAUGCCAAAAAAAAAACAAAGCUGAGUCCAAAAUCUAGAAAAUGUAUCUUCUUGGGGUAUGCUGAUGGAGUAAAGAGGUAUCGUCUAUGGGACCCCACUGCCCACAAGAUUGUCAUCAGCAGAGAUGUUAUGUUUAUAGAAGAUCAACUGCAAAGGAAAGAUAAGGAUUAUAGCAGUGUAAAAGAAAAGUCAAAGACUAUACUGGUAUAUGUGGAAAAUAAUCCAGAAGAUUCAGAUUCUUCUGAAGCAGCACCAGAGCACGAGGAAUGAGAACCAGUCGAGUCUGGGGCUCCAGAAGUUCGUCGGUCAACUCGUGAGAGAUGAUCGCCAACGUGGCACUCGGAGUAUGUCAUAGAGAUCAAUGUUGCAUACUAUCUUCUAAUAGAAGAUGGAGAGCCUUCAACUUUCUAUGAAGCUUUAAACAGCUCAGAUGUUGCUUUGUGGAUGACAGCAAUGCAGGAAGAAAUUGAAGCUCUACAUAAGAACAAGACAUGGGAACUUGUACCACUACUACACGGAAGAAAAGCCAUUGGAAACAAAUAGGUCUACAAGAUCAAGCGUAAUGGCAAUGACCAAGUGGAGCGGUUUCGUGCAAGAUUGGUAGUGAAAUGAUAUGCUCAAAAAGAAGGUAUUGACUUCAAUAAGAUAUUUUCGCCGAUAGUUCGACUCACAACAGUCAGAAUAAUCUUGGCAAUGUGUGCUACAUUUGACCUACAUCUAGAGCAGUUAGAUGUGAAAACUGCAUUUCUUCAUGAAGAACUUGAAGAAGAAAUAUAUGUGCUCCAACCAGAAGGUUUUAUAGAAACAGGAAAGGAAAACUUGGUUUGCAGGUUGAACAAAUCUCUAUAUGGUCUCAAACAGGCGUCGAGGUGUUGGUAUAAGAGAUUCGAUUCCUUCAUCAUGAGCCUUGGAUACAACAGAGUAAGUUCAGACCAUUGUACAUAUUAAAAAAGGUUUGAAGAUAAUGAUUUUAUUAUUUUAUUGUUGUACGUGGAUGACAUGUUGGUAGCAGGCCCCAACAAAGAUCGAGUCCAAGCAUUGAAGGCACAGUUGGCUAGGGAGUUUGAAAUGAAGGAUUUGGGACCAGCAAACAAGAUUCUAGGGAUGCAAAUUCACCGAGACAGAAAUAGCAGGAAGAUUUGGCUUUCGCAGAAGAAUUACUUGAAGAAAAUCUUGCAGCGCUUCAACAUGCAAGAUUGUAAGUCAAUUUCUACCCCACUUCCUGUUAAUUUCAAAUUAUCCUCAAGUAUGUGUCCUAGCAAUGAAGGAGAGAGGAAGGAGAUAUCUCGAGUACCGUAUGCAUCAGCAGUUGGAAGUUUGAUGUUUGCUAUGAUAUGUACAAGACCAGACAUUGCACAAGCAGUGGGAGCAGUCAGUCGAUACAUGGCCAAUCCCGGUGGAGAGCAUUGGAUAGCUGUGAAGAAGAUUCUGAGAUACAUCAGACGAACCUCAGAUGUUGCAUUAUGUUAUGGAGGAUCAGAGUUUACUGUCAGGGGCUAUGUGGAUUCAGAUUUUGUAGGAGACCUUGAGAAAAGAAAAUCUACUACUAGUUAUGUGUUCACACUUGCGGUAGCAGCUGUAAGCUAGGUUUCGAAACUGCAGACCGUUGUGGCUUUAUCUACAACAGAAGCAGAAUACAUGGCAGCUACACAAGCUUGCAAGGAAGCUAUUUGGACACAAAGAUUAUUGGAGGAGCAUGGGCACAAACAACAGAAAAUUCAUGUGUUUUGUGACAGUCAGAGUGCCUUGCACAUUGCAAGGAAUCCAGUCCUUCAUUCCAGGACAAAGCACAUAGGAGUUCAGUAUAACGCCGUUCGAGAAAUAGUGGAAGACGGAAAUGUGGAUUUACAGAAAAUCCAUACGAAGGAGAACCGAGCAGAUGUUUUGACCAAGCCGAUAAAUACUGAUAAGUUUGUUUGGAGUAGAUCCUCUUGUGGCCUAGCAGAAACGUAGGCAAUAUGAUUAUGGCGAAGCAGAAAAGAUGGUGUGGAGAUUGAUUGAUUUUCAGUCAAAUCUCCAAGUGGGAGAAAUAUCAAAGCCGGUGGUAGCCUAGCCAAAAUCAAAUUGGCUUUGGCAACCACCCAAAGAAAUAAACAUGGCUUUGGCAGCCACCUAAAGAAAUAAACAAAAGAGAAACAGAAGAAAAAGAGAUGAGGGAGGUGCCGCCCAAAGAAAUGAAGCACACGGCUUUGACUUGUUCUAAAAAAAAAAAAAAGAGCCAAAAUUUUUUUCUAUAUAAAGAGGGCUUCCCACCCUCAUUUUUGCAUUCUAUUUAAGAGAGAACAAUCUAGUAUUUUUUGAGAGAAAGAGUUUAGAGAGCUUGAAAUUAUAAGCUCUUGUUAUAGAAAUUUGAUAGUUUGGGUGUAUUGGGGUUUUGGGAAGUGGGCUAAAAUAUUACAAUACUUGUAACUCCUUUUACUAGUAAAAUAUUUCCUUCUGUCUUCGCCCGUGGAUGUAGGCUAAAAGCCGAACCACGUAAUUUCUGAUAUUCUCUUUUGUGCUUGUUCUUUAUUUUUUUUCCAAUUUUAUUUUAGCUGCAGUCCUGCUUCACCUACCAAUUUUCAAAAAGGUAUGACCAUGGUCAUUGCAGUUAGGUUUUGAUGAUUUCAGAUGCUUUUUUAAAAAAAAAUUGUGACUGACGAUUACAAUCAUUACAGCAAUGCUGAUGAGUGAUACAUCACUUGAAAUUUACUUGUCAGUUGCUGAAAUGAUGAAAAAAGACCAUAAACAAUAAGAUUAAUAAUGUUCUCUUGCUGAAUUCUAAUUUUGACUUUCAACUCUUGGUUUUUAUGGAAAGUAAAAUGACUUGUAUAUUGUUUAGAAACUCGAAUCUAACCAGUAACAAACUCGAAUCUAUCAUUAUCUAAACAAAAAACCAAGAGUUUCUAACCAGUAACAAACAAAGCAAUCUUAGUCUUUCAUGGAGCGGAACCUUAGUCUCAGUAUGAUCACUGUCUCAUUAACCCACUGCCUGCUUCUUUGCUUGGUUGUUGCAGCAACAGCAGCAGCAAGCAACAAUAUUAUCACAUACCAACAAGCUCUUCUUGCCCUGAAAGAUCAUAUCACUUAUGAUCCAACCAACCUUUUUGCCCAUAAUUGAACCUCGAAUACCUCUGUUUGUACCUGGAUUGGCAUCACUUGUGAUGUCAAUAGCCAUAGAGUCACAACCUUAGAUAUUUCUCAAUUCAAUCUACAAGGCACCAUCCCUCAACUUGGAAACCUCUCUUCACUCACAACACUUAAUUUUAGUCAUAAUAAGCUUUCUGGAAACGUUCCCUCCUCCAUCUACACCAUGCAUACGCUAAAAUUAUUAUAAGUGAAUAUGAAAUAGUUCACUCAAAGCAAGGAUAAAUGGAUGAAAGUACUACUCAUUUUAUUCACAAUGAGGUUGCCUUUUAUAGGCGUUACAUGAACAAACUUAAUGAAAUAAUAGCAGCUAUUAUUCAGCAAAUACUGCAGCCACUUUCCAGUAACUAUAGCCUAAAGACUAGGUAAACACAAUCUUGCAAAUAACAUUACCAACAAACUUCCUAAAGACUAGGACCAUAAAAGCAACUUAUUGACAUAAGGAAAUUCCAACAAUCCCUCCCUUAAACUAAAUGUUAUUAACAUUCAGUUUAAACAUUCUGCAGAAUCUUCCUCAAAUUGCAAUUUGCAAACUCCAAGUGACUUUCUCAACUUAAAAAAACUAGCCAAUUUGAGGGGUUUAGUAAAGAUGUCAGCAACUUGGUCUUCACUCUUGCAAUAAACAAGAUCAAUGACUUCAUUUUUUGUCAAGUCUCACAAGAAAUGAUAUCUCACAUCUAUGUGCUUGCAUCUUCCAUGUAGAACCGGAUUCUUUGAAAGUUUAAUUGUUGAACUAUUAUCACAGAAGAUUUGUGUUGACUUUGGUUGCUUAAACUGAAGUUCAUGAAGAAUAUUUCUUAGCCAAAGUGCUUGACAUGCACAAGAAGCUGCUGCAACAAACUCAGCUUCAGUUGUUGACAAAGUAACUAUCGGUUGCUUCUUAGAUGACCAUGAAAUAGCUGCUGAACCAAACAUAAAUACAUAUCCAGAUGUGCUUCUUCUGUCAUCCAAAUCUCCAGCAUAAUCAGUGUCUAUAAAGCCAUACAAAUUUGAUUUUUUACCCUUUUUAUAGAACAACCCAAAUUCAGCUGUACCACGCAAGUAUCGAAGAAUUCUUUUUGCAGCUAAAAGAUGAUCCUCUCUUGGACGCUCCAUAUAUCUGCUGAUGGAACUAACUGCAUGCAUUAUAUCAGGUCGAGUUGCCGUUAAGUACAUCAAGCUUCCAACAAUCUGUUUGUAAAGGGUACUAUCAAGCAGGAUCCUUAACAAACUUCAAUCCUUUUUCAAUUGGAGUAGUGACAGAGUUGCAGUUCUUCAUUUGAAAUCUUUCUAAGAUCUCUUUCACAUAUUUCUUUUGACAAAUAAAAUUUCCAGCAUCAGAUUGUAUGACUUCUAAGCCAAGAAAAUAAUGCAGCAAACCAACAUCAGUCAUAUCAAAUUCAAGCAUCAUGGAUUCCUUGAAUUUCUCAAACAUUACUCUGUCAUUUCCCGUGUAAAUCAAAUCAUCUACAUAUAAACAUACCAUAAGCAUUUUCCCAUCAUCUCCAAUUUUUAUGUACAGAGUAUGCUCAUAUGGGCAUUUUCGAAAACCUUCCUCCAAGAAAUAAGCAUCUAUAUGACUAUACCAAGCUCGGGGUGCUUGUUUUAGUCCAUAUAGAGCUUUUUUCAAUUUAUAGACUUUAUGCUCACUGCCUAAUUUCACAUAUCUAGGAGGUUGUUCGAUAAAUACCUCUUCUUGUAGCUCCCUAUGCAAGAAUGCUGAUUUCACGUCCAGUUGAAAAACAGGCCAUGAAUUUUGUGCUGCAAGAGCAAUAAUCAAUCUGAUCGUUUCAAGUCUUGCAACGAGAGAAAAUACUUCUUUAUAAUCCGCGCCGAACUCUUGCUUGUAGCCUUUGGCGACUAGGAGUGCCUUGUAUUUAUCAAUUUCACCAUUUUCCUUCAAUUUUGUCUUGUAAACCCACUUGACUCCUAUUGUCCUCUGCCCCAUUGGAAGUUCAGUCAACUCCCAAGUAUUAUUUUUUUCAAUGGAUGCAAUUUCUUCGUCCAUGGAUUUUAGCCAUUUUUGUUCUUUGACAGCUUCUUUAAAAGUUGUAGGAUCACAUUCUGAAAACAAGGCAAAGUGUAUGAGUGGAUUCUCAAGAGUGUUAAAUCUUGUUACCUCAUAAUCUGACAUCCAUGCAGGCCUUCUUCUAUCACGUUGAGAACGUGAAUCUGUAGCUUCAACUUGUUCAUUAAGUUCAUUUGUUGCUGGUGGAGUUUCUACUGAGACUCUAUUUUGCGGCAGGUCAGGAGCAGAGACUGUUGAAGGCUGAAGUUGCUGUGAAUUUUCUUCAAUUUCACCAUCGAAAUCUGCUGGAAUUUGCUGCCCAAUAGAACUGCAUCUCCACAUCCAUGUCUUCUCUUCAUAAAAAAUGACAUCACGACUAAUGACAAUUUUCUUGAUGAUGGGAUCAUAUAAUUUGUAGGCCUUUGAAUGAUCACUAACACUAAGAAAACUGCACUUUACACCUUUGUCAUCUAAUUUUCUUCUUUUCUCAUCUGGUAUGUGGACAUAUGCUAUACAUCCAAAUACCCGAAAGUGAUCUACUGCCGGCUUACAUCCACUCCAUGCUUCUUCAGGAGUUAUAUUUUGAACAGCUAUUGUGGGGCUUCUGUUCAAAAUAUAAACACUCCAAACAACUGCUUCAGGCCAAAAACUUUUGGGAAGACCACUCCUCCGCAGAAGGCUUCGUACCAUAUUAAGAAUUGUACGAUUUUUCCUCUCGCAUACACCAUUUUGCUGAGGUGUGUAGGCUGUUGUCAAUUGUCUUCUAAUUCCAUGAUUUUUGCAAAAGCUUCCAAAUUCUUGAGAGUUGAACUCUCCACCACGAUCAGUACGCAAUAUUUUAAUUUGGCUGUCAGCUUCUCUUUCAACUAAUGCUUUAAACAUUUAAAAGGCUGUGAAAACUUCCGAUUUUUCUUGCAAGAAAUAAACCCAGGUUUUUCAACUAAAAUCAUCAAUAAUUGAGAUAAAAUAUCGUUUACCUCCAUUUGAUGUUGGCUUGAUUGGCCCACAUAAGUCUGAAUGCACUAGCUCCAGCACUUUCUUUGCCCUCCGGGAUUUUCCUUUUGGAAAAUUAUCUCGAUGUUGCUUACUGACAAUACACUCUUCGCAAAGCUGUGAAGGUUGCUCAAAUUUCUAGACUUCACGGAUAACCAGCUCUCUGGUUCAGUGUCUUCCUUCGUCUUCAACAUGUCUUCAAUAUUAGACAUUCGUUUGACUAAUAACAGACUCUGGUGAGCUUCCGAAAAAUAUUUGCAACUAUAUUCCUUAUUUGAAAGCCCUUUCUUUAGACAAAAACAUGUUUCAUGGCAAAAUUCCUUAUGCUUUAUCAAAGUGCAAACAACUGCAACAAUUAAAUUUGCAGUUCAAUAAUUUAUCCGGUGCAAUACCGAAAGAAAUCGGCAACUUGACUAUGCUCAAAGGGAUAUAUCUCGGCUACAACAAACUCCACGGUAUGCUCAUAAUACUAUACAAAUAUUAUCUUUCUUGAAUACUUUAGAUAAGAUCUUGUAUGUGAGAUUUUUUUGCAUCUAUAUUAAUUUUCCAGGUGAGAUACCGCACGAAAUCGCUAAUCUUCGAAAUCUAGAGGCUUUAGCGCUUGGAAUGAACAACCUAGUUGGUGUGGUAUCAGCUCCAAUAUUCAACAUGUCAACAUUGAAGAUAAUUAUCCUCAUAAAUAACUCCCUCUUCGGAAGUCUUCCAUCAAGAAUAGGCCUUUCACUUCCAACUGUUGAGCAUCUUAACUUGGAACUUAAUAGAUUUUCUGGAACCAUUCCUAGUUCCAUCACCAAUGCUUCUAAGCUCACCCUUCUAAAGUUGGGAGGAAACACAUUUUCGGGCCUUAUUCCGGACACAAUUGGUAAUUUAAGAAACCUUGAGUGGCUCGGCUUGGCUUAUAACAACUUGACAUCUUCAACCUCAAAAUUGAGCUUUCUUUCCUCUUUGGCAAAUUGCAUGAAAUUAAGAUCCUUAAACUUAAUAGGCAAUCCACUUGACGGCUUCCUUCCAAGUUCAAUAGGUAAUCUUUCUAUGUCCUUGGAAACACUUCUCAUCACCAAUUGCAGUAUUAGUGGCAACAUUCCUCAAGCAAUUUCAACCAAAUAUCUUUUUCAAAAUAAUUAGGGUGUUUUAAGCAAUUUGAAAAAUAAAUGGAGUAAUUAAAAUUAUUUAGUAGGUAAUUAACUUGAACGGUAGAGGGUAAGCGAACAUUUAUCCCAAUUAUAUUAUGAGAAAUCCUUUUCCGAUUAGAAUUAGGAAACCGAGGUAUACUGAUUUUUUUGUUUUUUUAAUUUCCCUAUGCGAAAACGGAUUAGAGAAUAAGAAAACAAUCCUAGUGAUAUUAUUGUUAGGUUUAAAACACUGCAUAGAUAGUAAAAAGCGAACUAGUCUGUAGAGUAAUUUGUUAAUUGCUAUCGCCUCUCCAUGCAUGGUGAAUAAUUUGUUGCAUGCAAACUUUUUAUGUAUAAGAAAAAAAUUCUGUAGUUUAAGAAAAACAAAAAGGCAUGUUGAAUAGAUUACAAUAGUUUAAGGAAAAAAAUUAUUCAAUUGGGAAUUUUUUUUUCUUUAAUUUUUGUUGUACUUGAUUGAGAUUUCUCCUUAUUCCUUACAGUUUUAAGUUUGGAUACCGUAGGAUUAGUAAUUUCGUACUUCCUUUGCAAGCUGAGUAUAAGGAAGAAAUUCUUUUAAGAAAUUAAAAAAGAUAAAAAAAAGGCAUACCAGUAGGCAAUUAUAAAUAACCACAAAUAAAUAUAAACAAAAUGUUUAUGAAGUAAAUUAAACAUGCACAUAUUAUUUUCUUUUAUUUUCUGCUUGGAAACCCAUAAAUACACUAAUCCAGUACUACUAAUUUCAAACAGAAAAAUUUGAACUCUGGGCUGCAGUUUGACUCAAAAUGAUGAUCACUGGCUUCGCACCAUUUAACCGGUAUACAUUUCUACAAACUGAACAAGGCUAUUGAUUAUUAUUAUUAUUUUAAUUUGUUUAUAAAUUACUACUUUAAUUUUCACUUUUUAUUGGGUUGUUUAACGGAUUGGUGAAGUUGGUGGUCGUUGAUGCACUCACAAUGUACAAUUUUAUUUUAUAAUUUCAAAUUGGUAUUUUAAAAUGCAGGUACAUUGUGUAUACAUAAUUAUUGAUUUUCGAAUGAGGGUGUUUUGAAAUAUUGCUAAAAGACCAAACUUUAAUAAACUAUUUUUGAUCUUUUUUUUCUUCCUAAAGUUUGGGUGAUAUGCGCAUUUUAAAUUCAUGUGUAACAAAAGUUAAUGUAUGUAUAAAAAUUCUUUUAUUUUACUGAGCAAAAUAGGCAAGCGAAAAAGUUUUGGCAAAUGAGUUGCAACUGAAUUCAAAACCAAUACAAUGCGAGCAUAGGAAAGAGGUCAGUGUUCAGGAUUUGAAUUUAGUAUUAAGCUGAAUUUUAUGGUAAGCUCUUUUAUAGUACUGUAAUUAGUAAGCUAAGCCCCGGAUUUGCUUUUGCUUUUGCUUUUACUUCAAGUGAAAGAAAGAGGAAACCUUUUGUUUUUUCUUUGGUUUUCAACUAUGUUACCUAUACAGAGAGUCAAGAUACCUGCCAUAAGUGAUGGUGUUAAAAAGAUUAAGCAGAGCACACAAUCUUACUGUCGUCUAGACCAUCCAGUGAUGACUCUAGUCUUUUGGUUACGUUAGUUUUAGUUGAAAGAAGGGCCAAUUUAACAAAGACUAGAUUUGAUGGCUCACUAUGUUUAAUGUAAUGCUAAUUCUCAGGGAAUCUAAUGUUAUAACUUAUAAGAUGAUCUCCUAUGUUGAAUAACAGUAACACAUUACUGUGAUUGAGAGAACACAGUUACAAUAAACUCUUCCUUUACUCAUUGCGGAGAUUUAAUAGCAAACAGAGAAUAGAAUGAAGCAGAGGAAUCUCAUUGCCAGUAAAAUUGACCCUCUUUAUUAUUAUAUGGCACAGGUGUGGAGGAAGAACAAGUUACUUGCAGUUUUUAUUGUAAAAUAUACAGGUAUGACCAUGAUCAUUAUAGUUAGGUUUUGAUGAUUUCAGAUGCUUUUUUUUUUUAAAAAAAAAUUGUGACAUCUUUGAUUUACGGUAGUUUUGCAGAAAAAAAUAUCUAAAAAUUAAGAGGGAUGAGUUAACUGACGAUUACAAUCAUUACAACAAUGCUGAUGAGUGAUACAUCACUUGAAAUUUACUUGUCAGUUGCUGAAAUGAUGGAAAAAAACAAUAAACGAUAACAAUAAUAAUGUUCCCUUGCUGAAAUUCAAUUUUGACUUUCGACUCUUGGCUUUUAUGGAAAGUAAAAUGACUUGUACAUUAUACUCAUACAAUCCACUCUACAUAAUGAUAUCAUUUUAAUAAGGCAAUGGCUGAUGAUCUCCAUUGAAAAACUACUUCAAUUUUUUUGCUUUAUUUAACUUUUUGGUUGUUGAAAAUAACCUUAAUUAUCAAAUAUUUGGAGAAAGACAAAGGGUGCUUGCAGAAGUGGCAAUAUAUAUAUAUAUAUAAAAGGAGAAGUUGAAGAGAAAGGGUGCUUGCAGAAGUGGGUGUCAAAGAUAAAUCGGUCCAUAAGAAUUAUUACGGUUAUUUUUUGGCAAUAUAAAAAUUUUUUAGCAAAUAAAAAUUAAUUUUUUUCCAAUUUACUAAAAAAUUAAUUAAAAACUUCUGCGAUGGCAUUUUUUAUGGGUGCAUAUACCCUCCCUUUAAAAGAAAAAAUAAUAAUUAAUACUUAAUAUAGUAUUAAAUACGAAAAUAUCAAUAUUUGACUACUCAAAUUUAUAUCAAUAGGUCCUUAAAAUUUAAAAUUGAAGAUACAAGAGGAAAUAUAUAUAAAUUUAAUUCUCAUCGGAAAGGAUCCUCUUAUAAUUUUAUAUAUUUGAGCUUUGAAAGAUUUUUUGAAACAAAUGUACUUUUAUUUAUGUACAAUCAAUAUUUACUUAUUCAUUAUAUAUUUAUUUACUAACUAUCAAUCAUGUUAAUAUAUUUAGUCAGAAAAAUCAUAUCAAGAAAAAAUCAUGAUCCCACGCACAGAUAAAUACGUUAAUUUCUAUACUAUUCACUUACCUGUGUAAUCAAUUAUCUAAAAUGCAAGUUUGUGGCUACGGAAAACUCUCCAAAGAAAGAAGAUAAUAACAAUUGAGCAUUGAUAGCAAAACUAAUGCAUCAUUUUCUUCUUGACUUGAUGAGAUGACGCCAUGAUGUAAAAACAAGUACCUAAAUUGACCGGCAUUGAGUGAUGUGAAUACUACCAGCCGGUUCAUCUCUUCCAGUCUUGCUUAGUUACAAUCACAAACACCACGAGAUCGACAUUUGCAUUAUAUAUAUCUUCAGCAGUCGAAACACCUUGCAUUACCAAUAAACCAGUAACAAACAAAGCAAUCUUUCAUGGAGAGAAACCUUAGUCUCAGUAUGAUCACUGUGUCAUUAACCCACUGCCUGCUUCUUUGCUUGGUUGUUGCAGCAGCAGCAGCAGCAAGCAGCAAUAUUCCCACAGACCAACAAGCUCUUCUUGCCCUGAAAGAUCAUAUAAUUUAUGAUCCGACCAACCUUUUAGCCCAUAAUUGGACCUCGAAUACCUCUGUUUGUACCUGGAUUGGCAUCACUUGUGAUGUCAAUAGCCAUAGAGUCACAACCUUAGAUAUUUCUCAAUUCAAUCUACAAGGCACCAUCCCUCCUCAACUUGGAAACCUCUCUUCACUCACAACACUUAAUCUUAGUCAUAAUAAGCUUUCUGGAAGCAUUCCCCCUCCAUCUACACCAUGCAUACGCUAAAAUUUCUAGACUCCACUGAUAACCAGCUCUCUGGUUCAGUGUCUUCCUUCGUCUUCAACAUGACUUCAAUAUUCGACAUUCGUUUGACCAAUAACAGACUUUCCGGUGAGCUUCCGAAAAAUAUUUGCAAUUACCUUCCUCAUUUGAAAGCCCUUUUUUUGGACAAAAACAUGUUUCAUGGAAAAAUUCCUUCUGCUUUAUCAAAGUGCAAACAACUGCAACAAUUAAAUUUGCAUUCCAAUAAUUUAUCCGGGGCAAUACCAAAAGAAAUCGGCAACUUGACUAUGCUCAAAGGGAUAGACCUCGGCUACAACAAACUCCACGGUAUGUUCAUAAUACUAUCUAAAUAUUUUAAUUUAUCACUUGUUAAUUUUCUUGAAUACCUUAGAUAAGAUCUUGUAAGUGAGAUUUUUUGCAUCUAUGUUAAUUUACCAGGUGAGAUACCACACGAAAUCGCUAAUCUUCGAAAUCUAGAGGCUUUAGUGCUUGGAAUGAACAACCUAGUUGGUAUGGUAUCAGCUACAAUCUUCAACAUGUCAACAGUGAAGGUGAUUAUCCUCAUAAAUAACUCUCUCUCUGGAAGUCUUCCAUCAAGAAUGGACCUUUCACUUCCAACUAUUGAGCAUCUUAACUUGGCACUUAAUAGAUUUUCUGGAACCAUUCCUAGUUCUAUCACCAAUGCUUCUAAGCUCACCUUUCUAGAGUUGGGAGGAAACACAUUUUCGGGCUUUAUUCCAAACACAUUUGGUAAUUUAAGAAACCUUGAGCUGCUCGACUUGGCUAAUAACUACUUGACAUCUUCAACCUCAAAAUUGAGCUUCCUUUCCUCUUUGGCAAAUUGCAAGAAAUUAAGAACCUUAAGAUUAAGUGGCAAUCCACUUGACGGCGUCCUUCCAAGUUCAAUAGGAAAUCUUUCUAAGUCUUUGGAAACACUUGUCAUCGUCAAUUGCAGUAUUAGUGGCAACAUUCCUCGAGCAAUUGGCAAUUUAAGCAACUUGUUGGCCUUAGUAUUAGAAGCCAAUAAAUUGACUGGACCAAUUCCAAUUACAUUCGGCCGACUACAGAAACUCCAAGGCUUAGAUCUUGCAUUCAAUAAGUUGGUAGGUUCAUUCCCAGAUGAGCUUUGCCAUCUAGCUAGGCUGGCUGAAUUGGUCUUAUUUGGCAAUAAGCUUUCAGGAUCUAUACCUUCAUGCCUAAGUAAUCUCACUUCUCUAAGAUCUCUCUACUUAGGGUCCAAUAGGUUUACUUCUGUUAUUCCCUCAACUUUCUGGAGCCUAAAAGACAUCUUGUUCUUUGACUUUUCAUCAAAUUUCUUGGUUGGUCCUCUUUCUUUAGACAUAGGAAAUUUGAAGGUGCUUGUAAGAAUAAAUUUAUCAAAAAAUAACUUAUCCGGUGAUAUCCCAGCCACAAUUGGAGGACUGAAAGAUCUUCAAUUUAUGGACGUAGCAUAUAAUAGAUUGGAAGGCCCAAUUCCUGAAUCAUUUGGUGACUUGACAAGUUUGGAGGUUUUGAAUUUGUCAAAAAAUAAAAUCUCUGGGUCUAUUCCAACAUCCAUGGAGAAACUCUUUUACCUCCGAGAGUUAAAUCUCUCUUUCAAUGAACUAGAAGGUGAGAUUCCCAGUGGAGGAAUUUUUGCCAACUUCACAGCUGAGUCAUUUAUGGGAAAUGAGUUAUUGUGUGGUUUACCAAGUCUUCAAGUCCAACCAUGCAAAGUUAGCAAGCCGAGGACAGAACAUAAAUCAAGGAAAAAGAUACUUCUCAUUGUGAUUGUUUUGCCAUUGAGUAUUGCUCUAACAAUAGCAAUCACACUAGCUCUCAAAUCUAAGCUGAUCGAAUGUGGAAAAAGAAGCACAGUGUUGUCAAAUGAUAGUGUCUUGUCAUCACAAGCAACACUAAGAAGAUUUUCAUACUUAGAACUUUUACAAGCAACAGAUAAUUUUGCUGAAAACAACGUAAUUGGCAUUGGAGGUUUUGGUUCUGUUUAUAGAGCAAGACUUGAAGAUGGGAUGAAGAUUGCAAUAAAAGUGUUUCACCAGCAAUGUGCAAGCGCAUUGAAGAGUUUUGAGGCUGAAUGUGAAGUGUUAAAAAAUAUUCGCCAUCGAAAUCUUCUCAAAGUUAUCAGCAGUUAUUCAAACAAUGACUUCAAAGCAUUAGUCCUAGAAUACAUGUCCAACGGGAGCUUGGGGGAUUGGCUGCAUUCUAGCAAUUAUAUGCUGAAUAUAUUUCAAAGGUUGAACAUAAUGAUUGACGUUGCAUCAGCUUUAGAAUAUCUCCACUUCGAUCAUUCAACUCCUAUCAUUCACUGUGACUUAAAGCCUAGUAAUGUAUUGUUGGACGAAAAUAUGGUUGCUCAUUUGAGUGAUUUUGGCAUAGCAAAGCUUUUAAGUGGAGAGGAUGAGUAUUUGAUGCGAACAAAAACCCUUGCCACUAUAGGUUAUAUGGCACCAGGUUUGCUUCAAACAAUUGUUUUUUUUUAAGUUCAUUUUAAAUUUUCCAAAUCAUUGAUUUUUACGAUCCUCACAUCAAAAUUUUCUUGAUUAUUUAUCUAAUUGUGAAAUUAAUUUUAUUCAUAGAGUACGGCAUAGAAGGAGAAGUAUCUACAAAAAGUGAUGUUUACAGCUAUGGGAUUAUGUUGAUGGAAACUUUUACUAAGAAAAACCCCACAGAUGAAAUUUUUGUUGGAGAAUUGAGCUUAAAGCGUUGGGUUAAUGACUUGCUUCCUACUUCAUUAGUGGAAGUUGUGGACAAAACUCUGCUAAGUGGAGAGGAAAAACAUUCUGCAGUAAAGGAGCAAUGUCUGUUGUCUAUCUUUAGUUUGGCUCUGGAGUGUACAAUGGAAUCACCGGAAAAGAGGAUUAAUGCAAAAGAUGUUGUUACCAGAUUACUCAAGAUAAGAGACACAUUGAGUAAAAGGAUAGGAAACUGAAGUUAAUUUCGUUUGCUUUCAUUGAUAGUUAAUUCAAAUUCAUGUAAUAAGUGUAAGAAUCUUAUAUCCUUUCCUUUGAUUUUUUUUUUUUUUUGAGAAAACUGUUGUAGUCAUCUUGUUUCACUGCCCCCAAUGCUUUGGACACCUACUGGUAGGUUUGUACGUGUCCUCAACUUUUUUUAGGAGCACAAAAUUCGAGUCCCAUGGAGACUCAAACAUUCCUUUCCCACAUCCCGAGCACGCUAAGUUCGAGUGAAAGAGAUUAAUUUACGGAAACUAAAGCCAAGAGAAUAAAGGACAACACUUAUGUGAAGCGACAUAAAUGUAUUGAUAGCACAAUGUCAAAUUCAUACAGAGAUCUAGUAUACUAUUUACAGCCGGUAAGGGCUAAGAAUUGAUGUAGCUAGAAUACAAAGACGAUAAGGUAUGUUGUGCACUAUUGUUUUAUUCUACGAUCAAUCUUGACCCUUGAUGCUUGGCUCUCAAUCUUGUCCAUUGAUCUUCUUUGAUUUUGUACACUUCAAGACCUUUCAGUAUCAUUCCUUGUUGUUGGUGUCUUCCGUGCUGUAGAAUUCAUAUACAAGCCUUCCCGCCGACUUGCGAAGUAUUCGUUCAUUGAUGCAUUUUUAUCAAACAGUUGGCCGACUUGCCAAGUAUCAUGCCUUGUUAUAGGUAGGCUUGGUAGGAUUAUGGGUCGGUCGGUAGAUGUACAUGUGUUAAAGCUUUUGAAUUUAUGCCAAUUGAAAAUAAAAAAGAAUCUACAUAAAUUUUCAACGAGGCUAUUACCACAAUAAGCAUUUGGAUGAAUUAUUAUUGAAUCCUUUCUGAGAAGUAGGACAUGUCAGACAUCAAAGCACUGAGAUAUCUUCAAAUAGUGGUAACCCCCACGCAACAAGGCACAAUAAAUUAUACAGAUAAAAUCCUUCACUCUUUCGUAAUCAUCAGUGUAGGCACGGUGAUGCGUCAGACAGAUAUGGGUCGGAUCCACUCCAGCUCCAUAUCAAGAUUCAUAAACCAUGACAAAAAUAGAGAAUCAUAGGUGUUGCAGAUAGUGAUGGUUGUUGAUGCACUCGUGAUUUAAAAUUUUAUUUUAUAUCUUCAAGUUCGCAUUUUAAGUGUCCUUUUUUUUAAUUUUUUAUUGUGAUCAUUAUAACUUGUCAAAUCUAUUUUUAAAUAAUUUUUUAAAAAUAUUUUAUUAACAAUGAUAUGAAAAUAUUCGAACACCUUUUCAUAGUAAAGUGAAUUAUUAUCCGACGAUCCAACUCAUGUUUUCAAAUUGUAAAUUGCAAAUCGUGUGUUUGCUCCAUUACAGAGUUUCAUCAAUUUGAAAUAGAGAAUCAUUUGUGUUCUAGAUUAAUCGAGGGUCUAUAUCCAAAUCUAAAAAUUGACUAACUUGGUUUCUAUUAAAUUCUUAAUCCUAACAAGAAAAAUAGAAGAUUAAAAAUGACUAAUUUGGUUUCUAUUAAUUUGAGUAACGAUCGAAUUACCUAAUUUAUUAAGAUUUAUCAAAAUCCUAUGUCAAAAUCCAUUAAUGAUAUAGGUUCAAUGACGAAAUAGUCACUUGUUAUUAUUUUUGACUUCAUAAAUAGAUGAACGGAUGUUAUUUUUGGAUUCUGGAGAAUCGAAAAUAUCAGGAUAGGUGAUAAAUGGAAUUAAGUUGUAGAUAAGAUAGAAAUGGAUUUGGAGAGAGAUUGGAAUCCUGGGUAAUCCGGAGUACGUUGUUGUGUUGAAUGCUCGUUGACUUCACGUUGACUGAAACAUUAUUGGAAGAAGUGAGCAAGCUUAUUUUCUUCUCUCAUUUUUUAAAUUUGUCUUAAGUUUAUUGAUGUGAGGCCUUUGAGAUUGUAAGUUUCAAAUCUGAGAAGAAUAACCACACACCCAUUAUCCUAUUACUCUUAUUUUAUCACAUGAAGAGAAUUCGAAGUUUGAUAAAUUUGUGAGGAUUGUGAGGGUUGAUGCAAUAUAAUUUAGAUGCAAAGUGUUUACAAGUACGAUGCUUCAUAAGUGUUCUUGAAUCAUUAUAAACUCACGUUAUUUUUAUAAUGAUUGUUUCAUCUGCACAUGGAUAUAAUCAUAUGUUGAGAUUUUUUCCUAAAUUAUGGUCUUAUUUGGUAUUGAGGUGUUAGAUCUUUUAAGUUACAAUUACUAUUGGAAAAAAAAGUGCAACUAUGAAAUAAAAGUUAAUAUUGUGUACUAAAUAUAAUUGUUAAAUAAUAAUUUUGACAAAAUUAGUGAAGAUAUAUAGGUUUUUUUUUAAUCAUCUAAGUGUAAAAUCAAAUCAACUUAACUUCUAAACUAUAUAGCAGCUACUGUUUACCAAAUACUUUAGUACUGUAACUUUUAAGUUAUAGCUGCCUAACCUCAGUCUCAAACAAUGGCUAUAAAGAUCAAAGAUUUCCUCAUAAAAAUUAUACGUCUUGUGAUUGCUUAUUUAAUUUAUAUUUUUUUAUUUAUCUUUAUUAAUUACAGUCAUCUUUUAAUAAAUUACAAUUGCAGGAAGUUGAUGUUCGAAGUGCUUAUGUCGACUCAAAGUUGUUGGGAAUUAAUGCAUGUAUUGAUUUAUUGGGAGUGUUUAAAUGAUUUUGUGAUUUACUUGAUUGAUUGAUUGAAUAAUGUUUGAUUGCUUCAUAUCCGUUCUAGAAAGUUUAUUUCUUUGUGAAAUUUCAAUGAAAUAUGUUUUUUUAAAUUAUAAGGGUUUUUUAAGUAAUUUUAAAAAUAAAUGAACUAAUAAGGAUUAAUUAUUAGGUAAUUAACUUGAACUAUACAGGGUAAGCGAACAUGUAUCCUAAUUAUAUCAUGAUAAAUCCUUUUCCGAUCAGAAUUAGGAAACCAUAAGUAUAUUGAUUUUUUUUUCCAAUUCUCCUUUGCGAAAACGGAUUACAGAAUUAGAAAACAAUCCUAAUGAUAUUAUUGUUAGGUUUAAAACACUGCAUAGAUAGUAAAAAGCUAACUAGUUCGUAGAGUAAUUUGUUAAUUGCUAUCGCCUCUGCCUGCGCGGUGAAUAAUUUGUUGCAUGCAAAUUUUUUAUUUUAUGCAAAUCGUACUGAACAUUGGAAUUGAUGUAUAAGCAAAAAUACAAGAGUAUUUAUGUCAAUACAAAUUUUUUUUUUCCAUUUUAAAUAAACACAACGCGAUGUUUAUCUGCUCCGCGUUUUUGCAAUCUGUUUAUUCGUUGUUUAUUUGCUUCUUAAGGCCUCAAACUUUGAUAACCAAAAAUUUCACCAAACUAUGAAAAAUAUUCUGCAGGUUAGUUUUUAUUUUCGGAAUAAUUAUUUGAGAAUACUAAAACACAAUAUAAAAUAAGAAAAUAGGGGGUUAAAAUUUGAAAAAAAAACAAAAGGGCAUGUUGGAUAGAUUACUGUAGUUUAAGAAAAAAAUUAUUCAGUUGGGAAUUUUUUUUCUUUAAUUUUUGUUUUACUUAAUUGAGAUUUCUCCUUAAUCCUUACAGUUUUAAAUUUGGAUAACAUAGGAUUAGUAAUUUAGUACUUCCUUUGCAAGCCGAGGUUAAUGAUGAAAUUCUUUUAAGAAAAAAGAUAAAAGAGCAUACCAAUAGUCAAUUAUAAAUAACCACAAAUAAAUACAAACAAAAUGUUUAUGAAGUAAAUUAAAAAUGUGCAUAUUAUUUUUUUUUUAUUUCUUACUAAUCUUUGUAUUUGCUGCUUGAAAAACCAUAAAUACACAGAUGACCAUUGGCUUCGCACCAUUUAAUUGGGAUACAUUUCUACGUACAAACUGAACAAGGCUAUUGAUUUUUAUUAUUAUUUUUAUUUAUUUAUAAAUUACUAUUUCAAUUUUCACUUUUUAUUGGGUUGUUUAAUGGAUUAGUGAGGCUGGUGGUCGUUGAUGCACUCACAAGGUACAAUUUUGUUUUCCAAUUUCAAAUUCGUAUUUUAAAAUGCAGCACAUUAUGUAUACAUAAUUAUUGAUUUUCAUAUGUGGGUGUUUUGAAAUAUUGCUAAAAGACCAAACUUUAAUAAACUAUUUUUGAUCCUUUUUUGUUUCUUUUUUCCUAAAGUUUGAGUGAUAUCCGCAUUUUUAAAAGCUAAUGUAUGCAAAAAAUUCUUUUAUUUUUCUGGGGAAAAUAGGCAAGAGAAAACGUUUUGGCAAAUGAGUUGCAACUGAAUUCAAAACCAAUACGAUGCGAGCAUAGGAAAGAGGUCAGUGUUUUGGAUUUGAAUUUAGUAUUGAGCUGAAUUUUAUGUUUAACACAUGAUUCUAUUAUAGUACUGCGAUUAAUAAGCUCAGCCCCGGAUUUGCUUUUGCUUUUGCUUUUACUUCAAGUGAAAGAAAGAGGAAACCUUUUGUUUUUUCUUUGGUUUUUGACUAUGUUACCUAUACAGAGAGUCAAGAUAUCAGCCAUAAGUGAUGGUGUUAAAAAGAUUAAGCAGCGCACACAAUCUUACUGCUGUCUAGACCAUCCAAUGAUGACUCCAGUCUUUUGGUUACAUUAGCUUUAGUUGAAAUAAGGGCCAAUUUAGCAAACACUAGCUUUGGCGGCUUACUAUGUUUAAUGUAAUGCUUAUUCUCAAGGAAUCUAAUGUUAUAAGAUGAUUGAAUGAUCUUCUAUGAUUGUGAGUAGUAUAGGAUAAUUGAAAAGAGCCUGGCUCCUAUGAUAAAUAACAGUAACACAGUACUGUGAUUGAAAAAGUUCAGUUACAAAAACUUAGUUACAGUAAACUCUUCAUUUAUUCAUUGCGGAGAUUGAAUGGCAAAAAGAGAAUAGAAUGAAGCAGAGGAAUCUCAUUGCCAAUAAAAUUGACCCUCUUUAAUGUUAUAUGGCACAGGUAUGUUUACAUCAAGAACAAGUUACUUACAGUUUUUAUUGUAGUUAAGUUUUGAUGAUUUCAGAUGCUUUUUUUUUUUAAUUGUGACACCUUUGAUUUAUAAUAAUAUUGCAAAUAUAUAUAUAUAUAUAUAUUAGUAGUUUUUUGGUCCGAAAUUUUAAAGUGUGAGAAAGUAUGAGAAAGCUUUAAAACCGCACGGUGUUAAAGGCUUACAGUUUUAAGCAUUUUAAUCCAUGCGGUUUUAAAGUUUUACUGGAUUUUUCCGCACUUUAAAAUUCCAGACUGAAACAUUUCUGUAUAUAUAUACAUAUAAAUAUAUAAAUUAAGAGGGAUGAGUUAACUGAAGAUUAUAAUCAUUACAACAAUGCUGAUGAGUGAUACAUCACUUGAAAUUUACUUAUCAGUUGCUGAAAUGAUGAAAAAAAAACAAUAAACAAUAACAGUGAUAAUGUUCUCUUGCUAAAAUGACUUGUAUAUUAUACAAUCCACUCUACUUAAUGAUAUCGUUUUAAUAAAUGUUUGAUGAUCUCCAUUUAAAAACUACUUCAAUUUUUUUCUUCAUUUAACUUUUUGGUUGUUGAAAAUAACCUUAAUUAUCAAAUAAUUGGAGAAAGAGUAAAGAACAUUUAACAAAUUUAUGUGUAAAAAAAAAAAGGAGAAGUUGAAGAGAAAGGGUGCUUGCAGAAGUAGGUGUCAAAGAUAAAUCGGUCCAUAGGAAUUAUUUGUUGAGAUAUAAUUAAUAAUCUAGUAAAUUGAGCAAGAAGUUUGAAGGGUUAUUUGGUUUGUUUUUCAACAUGAAGUAAAGGGUAGAAUUGAUGUUUGCAAUGUAGCUUUGGAAAUGUAAAGCAUGAUUAAUGUAAUCUCUAGAGUUGUCUAUAAUGCAUAUAAAUAUAGAACUCUGGUUGUAUGAAAAGUAAGAGAGAAACGAAAAAAUGAAUUAAGCAAUAAAGUUUCAGAAAUUUCCAGCAAAAUACUCUGUUCUUAAAUAAAAAUUUUUCUGCACUUCCGCUUGCACCCAACAAAUUUGGUAUCAGAGCUAUUCCAAAACACCCUCAAAAUGACAUCAAACUUCUCCCUGUUUUGAGCUGGAAUAAGAGCAGAAAGCUGUGGGAAAAGGCACUAUUGCUGUCCAUACAAAGGAAGGUACUGAUUUCCUUAUUGUUUGCCUUUAUGUUGAUGCUGCAACAACAAUUUAUUGUGACAACAUGUCAGCCAUUGCUCUAACAAAGAACCCCGUAUUUCAUGCUAAAUCUAAGCACAUUGAGCUGCGUUAUCACUACAUCCGUGACUUAGUAAACAAAGGAGAAGUUAAUAUGGAGUUUAUCAGCACUAAUGAGCAGCCAUCAGAUUUUCUGACCAAAGCAAUCAACAUUGAGAAGUUUGAAAAAUUCAAGAAGCAAUUGAAGAUUACUAAUUAAGAGGGGGUGUUGAGAUAUAAUUAAUAAUCUAGUAAAUUGAGCAAGAAGUUUGAAGGGUUAUUUGGUUUGUUUUUCAACAUGAAGUAAAGGGUAGAAUUGAUGUUUGCAAUGUAGCUUUGGAAAUGUAAAGCAUGAUUAAUGUAAUCUCUAGAGUUGUCUAUAAUGCAUAUAAAUAUAGAACUCUGGUUGUAUGAAAAGUAAGAGAGAAACGAAAAAAUGAAUUAAGCAAUAAAGUUUCAGAAAUUUCCAGCAAAAUACUCUGUUCUUAAAUAAAAAUUUUUCUGCACUUCCGCUUGCACCCAACAUUAUUUUGGUUAUUUUUUAGCAAUAUAAAAAUUUUUUAGCAAGUAAAAAUUAAUUUUUUUCCAAUUUACUAAAAAAUUAACUAAAAACUUCUGCGAUAGCAUUUUUUAUGGGUGCAUAUACCUCCCUUUAAAAAAUAUAUAAUAAUUAAUGCUUAAUAUAGUAUUAAAUACGAAAAUAUCAAUAUUUGACUACUCAAAUUUAUAUCAUUAGGUCCUUAAAAUUUAAAAUUGAAGAUACAAAAGGAAAUAUAUAUAAAUUUCAUUCUCAUGGGAAAGGAUCAUCUUAUAAUCUUAUAAUAUUUGAGUUUUGAAAUAUUUUUUUGAAACAAAUGUACUUUUAUUUGUGUACAAUCAAUAUGUACUUAUUUAUUAUAUUUUUAUUUAUUAACUAUCAAUCAUGUGAGUAUAUUUAGUCAGAAAAAUUAUAUCAAGAGAGAACCCUAAUUUCACGUAAAGACAAAUACAAGACAAAUAUGGCAAUUUCUAUACUAUUCACUUUCCUGUAGAAUCAAUUAUCUAAAAUGCAAGUUUGUGGCUUCAAAAAACUCGCCAAAGAAAGAAGAUAAUUACAAUUGAGCAUUGAUAGCAAAUCUAAUGCAUCCAAUUCUUCUUAACUUGAUGAGUGACGUGAAUACUAGCAGUCUGUAACGCCCAAAUUUUUAUUAUUUUAUUUAUUUUUUAAUGGAAUUUAUAAAUGACAUUUUUGCCCUUAUAAAAACGGUUAUUCAUGGAAUAAUUUUUAGGAAAGGGUUAUUUUUCCAAAUUCAAUAGGGUUUCUUAAGACUCCCUAUAAAUUCAUAUUUUUCUCCUUCCAUAACCCUAAAAGCACGACGUUUCUUCUUCUUCUAUGCUGCUCAUUACGCUCUUACCCAAACCCUAGGAUUCAAACCUUUGGUUAAGAGAGAAUCAAAGCGAUUGGUAAGUUUAUUCCCCUUAUUCUCCACAAGAUUCCCAAUCACUCUAUCUAGGGUUUAUAUUGGCACGAUUUUAGAUUGUUAUAGAUCAUAAUGCAUGAUUUAGAAUGUGUUUAGGCUUUGUUUAGAGUUUUGAUUUAUUAUGAGUUUAGUUAAUCAACCUUGACGUAUUAAGCACAUAGAAUAGUUCCAUAGAAUAUUAUGUUAUUCUGAGUUUUAGAUUAAGAGUUAAAAUUCUGAGCAUCGGACCUGUACGGGUACGAAUUAAAAAAACCAGGUUCUUAGAAUAAGUUAUUAAUUGUCAUAUAUUGUAUUUGUUUAAGGCGUUGGAGGUGAUUGAGGCUCUUAGAGGGUUAGAGGUGUGUUAAUUCAAAUUCUUUUGUCAAGUUAAGUAACUUUAUUCCUAAUGUACUGGAUAUAUAUAUAUGAUUAUUUUGAUAUUAUUAUAAGUAUACGAAUUUUUUUACUACUUAGAAGAUUAAUGGAUUUUCAUAACAAAAUCAGUUUGUGUAAAUGUUUUCAAACCUAAAUUCUUUUUAAUAAAUUAUUUUGUAAAGGCUUUUAAAUAUGUAAGUUAUUUUAUGACAUGACUACCUUUUAUAAUUUUGUCUAUGAAAUAUUUGCAAGCCUAAAUUGUGGUUAUGGACUUUCAUGAAACUGAUACAAAUGUUUUGUACCUAUGUAUGAUUUCAAUUAUUUAUGAUUGUACGGGGGCCACCUCUUGGGACUAUAUGGGGGCCACCUCUUGAAAGCCAAAGCAUCGCAAAGUGCCACAUAUAAGUCAUUAUGUUUUGGCUCAUUGUCCAUAGUUAUUCUGAUUCUGAUUCUGAUCGUAUAAUACGAUAUAUGUCUGUUCUGGACCAGUACUGGGUUUUUGUUUUGAGUGUGCACACGAUAUUCUGAUUCUGUUUUUGGCCGAGUCACCAGGACUAUAGGUGACACUAUGUGACAUGAGCUAACCUUUUGUUUUAUGUGAAUGUGAUAUAUGAUUUGCUUUUGUAAGUAACUAUACUUUUGAUAUUCUGAGUUACAAUGAAUUUAAAUUAUUUUAUAGUGAUAUAUCGUUUUAUGAAAUUUAUGGAUUAUGAUAUAUGUUUUAAUUAAAAGAAGGCUUGCAAUAUUUUUGGUAUCGAUAGGCCUAGUGUGUUAGGAAUAGUUUUACUUACCGAGUUGACGGCUCACCCCUCGUCAUUACUUUUUGCAGAUUAAAUUUCUUUUGAGAGGUGCCCUUAGCUUUGGAGUUAGUAAUUUUCUGUUUCCGUUUGCCAUUUGAAUAAGAUGAGGAAUAGACUCAUGUUUCUAUUUAGUUUAUUUCUGUUAUGGACGUGUAAUUUGGAGUUUGAGACUUUUGUUAUUUUUUUUAUGUCCUCGGGAGAGAUUAUUUAGUAUUAGACGUUUGAAUUUGUGGAUUUAUUCGAAUAAGAAUUUGAGGUAUUUCAGUUUGAAACUUAUGAGUAAAGAUUAUGAUUUGUAAGUAACCUCCUUCUUCACGUGCUCCGCACGUGUUAGAUUUGGGGUGUUACAAUUGUGGUAUCAGAGCAUUAGGUUUGGGAUUCUGUAGACUUUAUUUGAGACUAGAUUUCUUAAGCACAAUCAAUUAGUUCAAUGGUAUUGCUUGCCAUGAGGUUAUCAGAAAGAGUAGAUCUUUAAGGCGAGGAGUAAUUUUGGUCUUUUUGAUUUUCUAGUUGCUUGUGACUUUGUAAUAACUCCUUGAUAUAGGAUUUUGGUAUUAACGUAGAAUGAAAUAUUUGUUUGCUCUUGUUGUCAAUCACUAAUGUUUCUCAGUUAUACUACUUACUCAGUACUUUGCGCACUAGCAAGGCCUUUAACUAUGAAUUAUUUACCGUUUUAUUUAUUUAUUUAUUUUUAUUCUUCGUGUUAUAGUCAAAAGAUGUUGCGUAGGGGAGGUGCUAGGCAUGCCUCUAGCUCGAGAGAUGUUUUAGGAAUCGCUGAUGACGUUGACCCAACCUUGCGUGAGAUGGCUAACGAAGGGAAUCCUAUGAUGCGCGCAAUGGUUAGAUUGAUGGAACAACAAAGUAAGUUGAUUCAAGAUAUGGCUAGAGGUAAAGUUGGGGCACAGGAGAAUGUGCCAGUUGAAAGACAAGGUGGUGGAAGAGAUCAGGGAGGUAUGAUGAGCUUAGAGCGGUUUAGGAAAUUGGGACCACCUACCUUUCAGGGGACUGCCGAUCCUAUGGUUGCAGAGGCAUGGUUAAGACAGAUGGAGAAAAUAUUUAUGGCUAUGGGUUGUAAUGAUGAUCAUAGGGUGAUAUUGGCCUCAUUCGUCCUUUAGGGCGAGGCAGACCACUGGUGGGAUGCCAAAUCCCGUCUUUUGAGGGCCGGGUUACAAGAUGCACCUAUUACUUGGGAGUUAUUUCUGGAGGCUUUUCAUGAAAAAUAUUUUCCUGAACGAGUUCGACAUCAGAUGGAGGUUGACUUCCUGAAAUUGACUCAAGGAACAAAGUUUGUUGCGGAGUAUGAGGAGCAAUUUACUGCUCUAUCUCAUUUUUCUCCUACCUUAGUUGCUAAUGAGGGUAGUAAGUGUAGGAAAUUCUUGGAAGGGUUACAUCCAAACAUCAAAAGACGGUUGACCAUCCUUAAGCUUAAUAAUUAUGCCGAUUUGGUGGAUCGUGCGAUUAUUGCAGAGAGGGAUAUAAUUCAAUCUCAAGUUGCACGAUCUAAUCGACAUAAUAACCAGCCAAUAAAACAUGAUAGUAAUGGUAGCGAAGGUGAACAUAAGGACUCUAAUGGUGGGUCUAUUCAAGAGAACAAACCAUUCUGUAAUCGUUGUGACAAGUACCAUAAUGGCACGUGCUAUUUAAAGAUAGAAGCUUGUUUUGGCUGUGGAAAGAUGGGGCAUAAGGUUAUAGAUUGCCCAAAAAAGCGCAGUGGUAACAUAGAUUCUGCCGAGAACCAAAGGAAAAAGCCAUGUGUCUUCGCCAUGGUGGAGCAAGAUAUUAAGAAACCGAAUAACGAAGCCUCAGGUGCAUUACCUAUUUUCCAUAGAAAGCCUUGAAUUUUUGAGUAAUUGGUAUUGUGCUUUUCCUCCAUCCUUUCUGAUUGGAUGCAUCGUAGCUAGAGUUUUUAGCCUAAUAAUUUCUUUUUUCAUCCAUUGAAUUUCUAUGGUACAUUAGUAGGAUAUGACGUGUGAUUUUAUAAGGCCAUUAGGAUUAACUUAUGGUUGGAUGGAGUAGGGACUAAUAUGAUAUUUAGUAGGAUAUGUGAUGAAGAUUGCAAUAAAAGUGUUUCACCAGCAAUGUGCGAGCGCAUUGAACAGUUUUGAAGUUGAAUGUGAAGUGAUAAAAAAUAUUCGCCAUCGAAACCUUAUCAAUGUUAUUGGCAGUUGUUCGAACGAUGACUUCAAAUCAUUAGUCCUAGAAUACAUGUCCAACGGGAGCUUGGAGGAUUGGCUGCAUUCUAGCAAUUAUGUGCUUAAUAUUUUUCGCAGGUUGAACAUAAUGAUUGACGUUGCAUCAGCUUUAAAAUAUCUCCACUUCGAUCAUUCAACUCGUAUCAUUCAUUGUGACUUAAAGCCUAAUAAUGUGUUGUUGGGUGAAAAUAUGGUUGCUCAUUUGAGUGAUUUUGGCAUAGCAAAGCUUUUAAGUGGAAGAUGAGUCUACGAUGCGAACAAAAACCCUUGCCACUAUAGGUUAUACGGCACCAGGUUUGCUUGAAACAACUUUUUUUUUUAGUUUAUUUUAAAAUUUCCAAAUUAUUGAUUUUUACGAUCCUCAUAUCAAAAUGUUAUUGAUUAUUUAUCUAAUUAUGAAAUAAUUUAAUUCAUAGAGUAUGGCAUAGAAGGAGAAAUAUCUGCAAAAAGUGAUGUUUACAGCUAUGGGAUUAUGUUGAUGGAAACUUUUACCAAGAAAAAACCCACAGAUGAGAUUUUUGUUGGAGAAUUGAGCUUAAAGCGUUGGGUUAAUGACUUGCUUCCUAAUUCAUUAGUGGAAGUUGUGGACAAAAUUCUGAUAAUUGGAGAGGAAAAACAUUUUGCCGCAAAGGAGCAAUGUCUGUUCUCUAUCUUUAUUUUGGCUCUGGAGUGUACAAUGGAAUCACCGGAAAAGAGGAUCAAUACAAAAGAUAUUGUUACCAGAUUACUCAAGAUAAGAGACACAUUGAGUAAAAGGAUAGGAAAUUUAAGUUAAUUUUGUUUGCUUUCAUUGAUAGUUACUUUGAAUUCAUGUAAUAAGUGUAAGAAUCGUUUAUCUUUUCUUUUGAUAUUUUUUUCUUGAGAAAACUGUUGUAGUCAUCUUUUUUCAAUGGGCAGAGUUGAUUUAGUUCUUCCAAGAAAUGCUAUUGUUGAUCUUUGUUAUAUACUUUUGUCUUUUUUUGCAUGCAUUUAGGUAGAAUAGUGGUCUAGCUGCAGGCUAACAAGUCAAGCUACGCUAAAAGGGUAUGAUUUAAUUUAUUAAACCUAACUUCAAGUUCAAGAAUUGUAUCUCAUUGCCACCAAUGCUUUAGACACCUAUUGGUAGGUUUGUGUCCUCAACUUUGUUUAGAGCAAAAGUUCCAGUCCCAUGGAGGCUCAAAUAUUCCUCUCCUACGUCCCGAACACACUAAAUUCAUCAGCCUCUUGAACCCUCUCCUGAGGGCGCCUUCUGUCCUCUGUUUUCUGUUUCCAUACACAAAUAGCAAAAAGAAUUCAGAAUGACAACUGGGACAUAUAUAAGAGUGAAAUAAUUAAAAAAAAUUAUGCUUUUUUGUUUGUCGUGUUAAAAUCGUAAGGUAUCUAAGUACUAUGAAAGAGAUUAGUUUACGAAAACUGAAGCCAAGGGUUCAUAAAAAAGUGCAAAGAGAAUAAAGGACAACGCUUAUGUAAAGCGACAUAAUUGUAUUGGUAGCACAAUGUCACGUUCAUACAGAGAUCAAGUACAUUAUUUACAGCUGGUAAGGGCUAAGAAUUGAUGUAGCUAGAAUACAAAUAUGAUAAGGUAUGUUGUGCACUAUUGUUUUAUUCUACAAUCAAUCUUGACCCUUGAUGCUUGGCUCUCAAUCUUGUCCAUUGAUCUUCUCUGAUCUCGAAAACUUCAAGACCUUUCAAUCUCAUGCCUUAUUAUUGGUAUGUUCUAUGCUGUUAAUUUCAAAUACUAGCUUUUCCGCCAACUUGCCAAUUAUUUGUUCAUUGGUGCGUUCUGUCAAACAGUGUGGAUACUUAUACCAAACGCUUUCUGUUUUAACUCCCCCUUUCAAGCUCAACUAUCUGGGAAGACACUAAUAAGCUUGUUUCUCAAGUAUAUGUAUCUGAAAAUUAAAUUUUCAAAAUUAUAUUCGGACUCUACAUUUUCUAAUGAACAUUGGUUUGGCUCAUAAGCUUAUUAUACUUGGGCUUGGUAGGAUUAUCGGUCGGUAGAUGAACAAGUGUUAGAGCUUUCGAAUUUAUGCCAAUUAAAAAAAAAUCUAUAUAAAUUUUCCACUAGGCUAUUACCACAAUAAACAUUUGGAUGAACUAUUAUUGAAACCUUAUUGAGAAGUAGGACAUGUCGCAUACCAAUGCACUGACAUAUCUUCAAAUAGUGGUAACUCCACACAACAUGGCACAAUAAAUUAGAGUUAUAUAGAUAAAAUCUUUCACUCUUUGGUAAUCAUCAAUGUCGGCAUGGCAAUGCGUCCGACAAAAUUCAUAAAUCAAAACAAAAAUAGAGAAUCAUAUUUGUUUCAGAUUGUAGUGAUGGUUGUUCAUAAUUCACAAUUUUAUUUAAUAUCUUCAAAUUCGCAUUUUAAAAUGCACAAAUGUUUGUGUAUACAUAAUUAGUAAUCGAUUCUCAAGCUUGGACAUUUAAAAGCACUGCUAAAAGACAAAAUUUUAAUUCACUAUUUUUUGUCUUUUAAUUUUCUUUAAGUUUUAAUGAUUCCGCAUUUUAAAAUCCUGUGGAACGUACAUGUAAAAUUCUUUUAUCUUUUAGAGGAAAAUGGGCAAGAGAAGAAGAUUUGGCAAAGGAAUUGCAACCGCAUUUGGAGCUAGUUUUAAUUUUGUCUUUUAAUUCUUUUACACUUGGCUUUUGUUAUUGAUGUCAACUUCGAUGUGUGUGCGUGUGCGACUGAAUUCAACUUACAUGCUAUUGAUGCAGCCACCAAAAAGGGGUGGUCCAUCAUCAAUCAACAAGGUUUAUUAUUAUUUCCAUAUUGAUUUUCUUAAUUAUAAAUAAUACUAAUGUUAUUUCAUAGUUAUAAAUAUAUUAGAAUUAAUCGAAAUCAUUUUUUAGUGUGGCAUGGCUAAAACUACCUUUUUUUUUUAUAAGUAAUUACUACUUUCACAUUAAGAAAAAUACUCCUAUUUUUAAGGAAAAGUCAAGUACCUGUAGUUGUGAAGACUCAAGCUCACUCCCUUAUGAUAAAUCUUCAUAUUAAUUACGUAAAUAUCCUCUAAAAUUUUAAAUUAGCUAUUCAAAAUUUGAUGUUAUACGGGUAUUUCAUUUAUUUGAGUAGGGGUUAGGGGUCAAUUGGAUACAAAUUCAAAAUUAUCCUUACUUGAGAAGGUGAUAAAAAUUGGGGAUUUAGUUUGGAUGUCAUUAGCUACAAAUAUUAAACUCAUACAUUUAAUUCAAAAUUAGAGGGCUGAUAUGUGCGCAUCAUCGUCCACGUUAUAGUGACACUGCGUCACCAUUCCACAACCUCUCCAAUGAAAAAUUGACAUGCUUCUUGUGCGCAUCUAAUCAGAAUCUUGAAAAUUAAUCACAAAAUUGUACUUUUAUUAUAAAAAGAAUAAAGAAACUCCAAGAAAAAAAAAAAGACUUACAUAAAUAGAUUGAAAAAUCUAGAUUUCAAGUUGUCUAUAUUAGCUUGAUAUUUUUAUUAAUAGUCAUCCUCCCAAAAAAAUUCCAUCAAAAUAUAUUUUAAUUUUAUGUUAAUUCAUAAACAUGAAAAAAUCAUUUUAGAAUUAAUUAAAACAUAAUUUAUUGUUGCUCAAAAAAGGUAGAACUUAGUUAUCAGAAAAAAGUGUCUAAAAUAUAUGUUAAAAAAAAAUCAUGGUUGGUUGGACUGAUUGAAUUUUUUUUUUCUUUUUUAAGAAUUAAGACAAUUGGAUGGAUUGAGUAAUAAUAAUACAUAUUUAUUUGGCAAAUGGCAGGGAGGCUUUCGUCUGAUGCAGAUUGAUUAGAGAGAAAAUAUAACAAUUUUAAGCUCGUCAGAUUCGAAGCUGCUUACCUGUCGUGUGGGGAUCACUUCCGUGUCUUAUUUUUCUAGAAAAAUCUGGACCAUUGGAUUUACCAUUAGUCAAUAGAGAAAUGUUGAUCUUGAUUCUUGAUCAAGAUCGAAGUUUGAUUCUAACUAACACGAUAUCAGAUUGCGAAGCAAGCAAAUUGAAAGUCACUUGUUCUAUGGAAGAAACACAAGUUCUAAUAAAACAUUCUCAUAGUAAAGUGAAUUACCAUCCAACGAUCCAACUCAUGUUUUCAAAUUGUAAAUUGCAAAUCGUGUGUUUGCUCCAUUACAGAGUUUCUUCAAUCUGAAAUAGCGAAUCAUUUGUGUUCUAGAUUAAUCGUGGGUCUAUAUCCAAAUCUAAAAAUUGACUAACUUGAUUUCUAUUAAAUUCUUAAUCCUAACAAGAAAAAUUGAAGAUUAAAAACGACUAAUUUGGUACCAUACCACUAUUGUAACAUAGGUAGAUCCUCUAUUAAUUGGAGUAAAGAUUGAAUUAUCUCAUUUAUUAAGGUUUAUCAAAAUCUUGUGUCAAAAUCUAUUAAUGAUAUAGGUUCAAGGAUGAAAAAGUCACUGCAUUACUUUUGAGUUCCCAAAUAGAUGAAUGGAUGUUAUUUUUAGAUUCCGGAGAGUCGAAAAUAUUAAGAUAGGUGCUAAAUCGAAUUAAGUUGUAGAUACGAUAGAAAUGGAUUUGGAGAGAUUGGAAUCCUAGGUAAUCCGGUGCACGUUGUCGUGUUAAAUUCUCGUUGACUUCACGUUGACUGAAGCAUUAUUGGAAGAAACAAGUUUAUUGAUGUGAGGCCUUUGAGGUUGUAAGUGUUAAAUCUGAGAAGAAUACCCACACACCCAUUAUCCUAUUACUCUUAUAUCACAUGAAGAGAAUUCAACAUUUGAUUCACACGGAAAAAAUUUGUGAGGAAUGUGAGGGUUGAUGGAAUAUAAUUUAGAUACAAAGUGUUUACCAGUGCGAUGCUUCGCAAGUGUUCUUGAAUCAAUAUAAACUCACAUUAUUUUCAUAGUGAUUGUUUCAUCUGCACGUUAAUAUAAUCACAUGUCGAGAUUUUUUUCCUUAAAUUAUGGUCUUAUUUAGUAUUGAGGUGUUAUAUCUUUUAAGGUACAAUUAUUGUUGGAAAAAAGUUACAACUAUCAAAUAAAAUUAAUACUAUGUGCUAAAUAUAAUUGUUAAAUAAUAAUUUUGACAAAAUUAGUGAAGUUAUAUAGAUUUUUUUCAUCAUCCAAGUAUAAAAUCAAAUCAACUUAACUUCUAAGUUAUAUAUCGGCUACUGUUUAUCAUAUGUUUUAGUUUUGUAACUUUUAAAUUAUAGUUACCCAACCUCAAUUCUAAACAAGACCUAUAAAGAUCAAAGAUUUCCUCAUUAAAUUAUAUGUCUUGUGAUUGCUUAUUUAAUUUAUAUUUUUGUUAUUUAUCUUUAUUAAUUAUAAUCAUCUUUUUAUAAAUUAAAAUUGAAGGAAGUUGAUUGAUGUUGUUGACACACACACGCACGCGCACGCACACACUCACAAAGAUAUAUUGGAAGUGCUUACGUCGACUCGAAGUUGUUGGGAAUUAAUGCAUGUAUUGAUUUAUUGGGAGUGUUUAAAUGAUUUUGUGAUUUACUUGAUUUAUUGAUUGAAUAUUGUUUGAUUGCUUCAUAUCCAUUCUAGAAAGUUUAUUUCUUUGUGAAAGUUCAACGAAAUAUGUUUUUUUUUUUAAAUAAGGGUGUUCUAAAUAAUUUUAAAAAAUAUAUGCUUGUCUUCCCAAAAUAGCCUUUGAAUACACAAGUAAAUGUCUAGCCUUUGGUGAGGAUAGUUUGGUCAUUGCAUUUUACAAGUAAGAUGAGUGGUGGAGAAAAAUGAGGAGUGCACAUAACUCUUCAGCAAAUCCCACCAACAAUUCCAUUUUCUUAAUUAAUUAAUCUCCUUUUUUAUCCCCAAACAAAUCCUAAUGAUACUAUUAUCAGGUUUAAAACAGUACACAAAUAGUGAAAAGCUAACUAGUCUGUAGAGUAAUUUGCUAAUUGCUAUCUCCUCUCUAUGCUCGCUGAAUAAUUUGUUGCAUGCAAACUUUUUAUUUUAUGCAAAUCAUACGUACUGUAACAUUGGAAUUGAUGUAUAAGCAAAAAUACAAUAAUAUUUAUGUCAAUACAAAUAGUUUUUUUUCCCUUUUUAAAUAAACACAACGCGAUGUUGCUCUGCUCUACAUUUUUGCUAUCUCUUUAUUAUUAUUAUUUUUUUUUGGGCUUCUUAAAGCCUCAAACUUUGAUAACCAAAACUUCAUCGACCUAUGAAAAAAUCUGCAGAUUAGUUUUUAUUAUCGGAAUAAUUGUUUGAGAAUACUAAAACAAAAUAUAAAAUAAGAAAAUACGGGGUUAAAUUUGGGGAAAACAAAAAGGCAUGUUGGAUAGAUUACUAUAGUUUAAGGGGAAAAAAAAAUUCAAUUGGAAAUUUUUUUCUUUAAUUUUUGUUUUACUUGAUUGAGAUUUCUCCUUAGUCCUUACAGUUUUAAGUUUGGAUGCCGUAGGGUUAGUAAUUUAGUAUUUCCCUUGCAAGCUGAGCUUAAGGAUGAAAUUUCUUUUAAGAAAUUAAAAAAGAUUAAAAAAAGCAUACCAAUAGGUAAUUAUAAAUAACCAUAAAUAAACAUAAACAAAAUGUUUAUGAAGUAAAUUACACAUGCACAUAUUAUUUUUUUGUUAUAUUUCUUACUUGUCUAUUUUAUUUGCUGCUUGAUAACCCGUAAAUACUAAUCUAGUACUGCUAAUUUCAGACACAAAAUGUUUAACUCUAGGCUGCAGUUUUACUCAAAAUGAUGACCACUGGCUUCGCACCAUUUAACCGGCAUACAUUUCUACAAAUUGAACAAGGCUAUUGAUUUUCAUUAUUAUUUUUUAUUUAUUUAUAAAUUACUAUUUUAAUUUUCACUUUUUAUUGGGUUGUUUACAGAUUAGUGAAGUUGGUGGUCGUGAUGCACUCACAAGGUACAAUUUUAUUUUAUAAUUUCAAAUUUGUAUUUUAAAAUGCAGGUACAUUAUGUAUACAUAAUUAUUGAUUUUCAUAUGUGGGUGUUUUGAAAUAUUGCUAAAAGACCAAACUUUAAUAAACUAUUUUUUAUCUUUUUUUUUCCUAAAGUUUGAGUGAUAUCCGCAUUUUAAAUUCAUGUGGAACAAAAGCUAAUGUAUGCUCAAAAUUCUUUUAUUUUUUCCGAGAAGAAUGGGUAAGAGAAGAAGAUUUUUCUGUUGAAAAAGAAAAACUAAUACGAUGCAAGCAUAGGAAAGAGGUCAGUGUUUUGGAUUAGAAUUUAGUAUUGAGCUGAAUUUUAUACUAAACUCUUUUAUAGUACUGCGAUUAAUAAACUCAUGAUUUGCUUUUGCUUUUACUUCAAGUGAAAGAAAGAGGAAACCGUUUGAUUUUUGUUUGAUUCUUGACUAUAGAUGUUACCUAUAUAGAGAGUUGAGGUAGCUGCCUUAAGUGAUGGUUAUAAAAAGAUUAAGCAGCGCACACAAUCUUACUGUCGUCCAGACCAUCCAGCUAUGAUGACUCUAGUUUUUUGGUUACAUUAACUUUAGUGGAAAGGAGGGCCAAUUUAACAAAGACUAGAUUUGGUGGCUUACUAUAAUGCUUAUUCUCAGGGAAUCUAAUGUUAUAAGAUGAUUUAAUGAUCUUCUAUGAUUGUGAGUAGUAUAGUAUAAUUGAAAAGAGCUUGGGCUCCUAUGAUGAAUAUUUAAUAGUAACACAGUACUGUUAUUGAAAAAAACACAGUUACAAUAAACUCUUCAUUUAUUCAUUGUGGAGAUUGAAUGGCAAACAGAGAAUAAAAUGAAGCAGAGGAAUCUCAUUGCCAGUAAAAUUGACCCUCUUUAAUGUUAUAUGGCACAGGUGUGUGUACAGCAAGAUCAAGUUACUUGCAGUUUUUAUUGUAAAAUAUAUAGGUUAUGACCAUGAUCAUUGUAGUUAGGUUUUGAUGAUUUUAGAUGCUUUUUUUAUUUUUUUUAAAAUUGUGACACCUUUGAUUUAUGGUAGCUUUGCAGAAGAAAAAUAUAUAUAUAUAAAUUAGGAGGGAUGAGUUAACUAACGAUUGCAAUCAUUACAGUAAUGUUGAUGAGUGAUACAUCAUUUGAAAUUUACUUGUCAGUUACUGAAAUGAUGAAAAAAAACAAUAAACAAUAGCAGUAAUAUUUUUAUGGAAAAUCUUGGUUUUUAUGGAAAUACUCUUGCUGAAAUUCUAAUUUUGACUUUCAACUCUUGGUUUUUAUGGAAAGUAAAAUGACUUGUUUGUUAUAUUCAUACAAUCCACUCUACAUAAUGAUUUCAUUUUAAUAAAUGCUUGAUGAUCUCCACUGAAAAACUACUUCAAUUCUUUUGUUUUAUUUAACUUUUUGGUUGUUGAAAAUAGCCUUAAUUUUCAAAUAAUUGGAGAAAGAGUAAAGAACAUUUAACAAAUUUAUGUGCCAAAAAUAAAGGAGAAAUUGAAGAGAAAGGGUGCUUGCAGAAGUGGGUGCAAAGAUAAAUCAGUCCAUAAGAAUUAUUGUGGUUAUUAAGUUUUUGGCAAUAUAAAAAUUUUUCAGCAAAUAAAAAUUGAUUUUUUCCGAUUUACUAAAAAAUUAAUUAAAAACUUCGGUGAUAGCAUUUUUUAUGGGUGCAUGUACCCUCCCUUUAAAAAAAAUAUAAUAAUUAAUACUUAAUAUAGUAUUAAAUACGAAAAUAUCAAUAUUUGACUACACAAAUUUAUAUCAUUAGGUCCUUAAAAUUUAAAAUUGAAGACACAAAAUGAAAUAUAUAUAAAUUUCAUUCUCACAGGAAAGGAUCCUCUUAUAAUCUUAAAAUAUUUGAGCUUUGAAAGAUUUUUUAAAACAAAUGUACUUUUAUUUUUGUACAAUCAAUAUUUACUUAUUUAUUAUAUUUUUAUUCAUUAACUAUCAAUCAUGUGAGUAUAUUUACUCAGAAAUAUCAUAUCAAGGAAGAAUCUUGAUCCCACGCACACACAAAUAUGUUAAUUUCUAUACGCUUCACUUACCUGUAGAAUCAAUUAUCUAAAAUGCAAGUUUGUGGCCACAAAAAAAGCCAAAGAAAGAAGAUAAUAACAAUUGACUUGUAUAUUAUACUCAUACAAUCCACUCGACAUAAUGAUAUCAUUUUAAUAAGGCAAUGGCUGAUGAUCUCCAUUGAAAAACCAAUUCAAUUUUUUUGCUUCAUUUAACUUUUUGGUUGUUGAAAAUAACCUUAAUUAUCAAAUAAUUGGAGAAAGAGUAAAGAACAUUUAACAAAUUUAUGUGCAAAAAAAAAAAAAAAAAAAGGAGAAGUUGAAGGGAAAGGGUGCUUGCAGAAGUGGGUGUCAAAGAAAAAUCUGUCCAUAAGAAUUAUUGCGGUUAUUUUUUGGCAAUAUAAAAUUUUUAUAGCAAGUAAAAAUUAAUUUUUUCCAAUUUACUAAAAAAUUAACUAAAAACUUCUGCGACAACAUUUUUUAUGGGUGCAUAUACCCGCCCUUUAAAAAAAAAAAUAAUUAAUGCUUAAGUUAGUAUUAAAUACGAAAAUAUCAAUAUUUGACUACUCAAAUUUAUAUCAUUAGGUCCUUAAAAUUUAAAAUUGAAGAUACUAAAGGAAAUAUAUAUAAAUUUCAUUCUCAUGGAAAGGAUUCUCUUAUAAUCUUAUAAUAUUUGAGUUUUGAAAUUUUUUUGAAACAAAUGUAAUUUUAUUUGUGUACAAUCAAUAUUUACUUAUUUAUUAUAUUUUAAUUUAUUAACUAUCAAUCAUGUAAGUAUAUUUAGUCAGAAAAAUUAUAUCGAGAGAGAAUCCUAAUUUCACGCAAACACAAAUACAAGACAAAUAUGUUAAUUUCUAUACUAUUCACUUUCCUGUAGAAUCAAUUAUCUAAAAUGCAAGUUUGUGGCUAUAGAAAACUCGCCAAAGAAAGAAGAUAAUAACAAUUGAGCAUUGAUAGCAAAACUAAUGCAUCAUUUUCUUCUUGACUUGAUGAGAUGGUGCCAUUACAAAACAAUAAUUACCUUAAUUGACGGGCACUGAGUGAUGUGAAUACUACCAGCCAGUUCAUCUCUUCCAGUCUUGCUUAAUCACAAUCACAAACACCACGAGAUUGACAUUUGCAUUAUAUAUAUCUUCAGCAAUCGAAACACCUUGCAUUACCAAAUUAACCGGUAACAAACAAAGCAACCUUUCAUGGAGAGAAACUUUAGUCUCAGUAUGAUCACUGUGUCAUUAACCCACUUCCUGCUUCUUUGCUUGGUUGUUGCAGCAGCAGCAGCAGCAGCAAGCAACAAUAUUACCACAGACCAACAAGCUCUUCUUGCCCUGAAAGAUCAUAUAACUUAUGAUCCAACCAAACUUUUUGCCCAUAAUUGGACCUCGAAUACCUCUGUUUGCACCUGGAUUGGCCUCAGUUGUGAUGUCAAUAGCCAUAGAGUCACAGCCUUAGAUAUUUCUCAAUUCAAUAUACAAGGCACCAUCCCUCCUCAACUUGGAAACCUCUCUUCACUCACAACACUUAAUCUUAGUCGUAAUAAGCUUUCUGGAAGCAUUCCCCCCUCCAUCUACACCAUGCAUACGCUAAAAUUUCUAGACUUCACUGAUAACCUGCUCUCUGGUUCAGUGUCUUCCUCCGUCUUCAACAUGUCUUCAAUAUUAGACAUUCGUUUGACCAAUAACAGACUUUCUGGUGAGCUUCCGAAAAAUAUUUGCAACUAUCUUCCUUACUUGAAAGCCCUUUUUCUGGACAAAAACAAGUUGCAUGGCAAAAUUCCUUCAGCUUUAUCAAAUUGCAAACAACUGCAACAAUUGCAUUUGCAGUUCAAUAAUUUAUCCGGUGCAAUACCGAAAGAAAUCGGCAACUUGACUAUGCUCAAAUGGAUAGAUCUCGGCUACAACAAACUCCACGGUAUGUUUCAUAAUGCUAUCUAAAUAUUUUAAUUUAUCACUUGUUUAUUUUAAUUUCUCACUUGUUAUUUUUCUUGAAUACUUUAGAUAAGAUCUAGUAAGUGAGAUUUUUUGCAUCUAUGUUAAUUUACCAGGUGAGAUACCCCCCGAAAUCGCUAAUCUUCGAAAUCUAGAGGCUUUGGUGCUUGGAAUGAACAACCUAGUGGGUGUGUUACCAGCUACAAUCUUCAACAUGUCAACACUGAAGGUAGUUAUCCUCAUUAAUAACUCUCUCUUCGGAAGUCUCCCAUCAAGAAUAGACCUUUCACUUCCAACUAUUGAGCACCUUAACUUGGCACUUAAUAGAUUUUCUGGAACCAUUCCUAGUUCCAUCACCAAUGCUUCUAAGCUCACCUUUCUAGAGUUGGGAGGAAACACAUUUUCGGGCUUUAUUCCGAACACAAUUGGUAAUUUAAGAAACCUUGAGUGGCUCAGCUUGGGUAAUAACUACUUGACAUCUUCAACCUCAAAAUUGAGCUUUCUUUCCUCUUUGGCAAAUUGCAAGAAAUUAAGAGACAUAGGCUUAACAGGCAAUCCACUCGACGGUAUCCUUCCAAGUUCAAUAGGUAAUCUUUCCAUGUCUUUGAAAACACUUUACAUCGGCAAUUGCAGUAUUAGUGGCAACAUUCCUCAAUCAAUUGGCAAUUUAAGCAACUUAUUGGCCUUAGUAUUAGAAGGCAAUAAAUUGACCGGACCAAUCCCAACUACAUUCGGCCAACUGCAGAAACUCCAAGGCUUAUUUCUUACAUUCAAUAAGUUGGUAGGUUCAUUCCCAGAUGAGCUUUUCCAUCUAGCUAGGCUGGAUAAAUUGGUAUUAUUGGGAAAUAAGCUUUCAGGAUCUAUGCCUUCAUGCUUAAGUAACCUCACUUCUCUGAGAUCUCUCUACUUAGGGUCCAAUAGGUUUACUUCUGUUAUUCCCUCAACUUUCUGGAGCCUAAAAGACAUCUUGUUCUUUGACUUUUCAUCAAAUUUCUUGGUUGGUACUCUUUCUUUCGACAUAGGUAAUUUGAAGGUGCUUCUAGGAAUAAGUUUAUCAGAAAAUAACUUAUCGGGUGAUAUGCCAGCCACAAUUGGAGGGAUAAAAAAACCUUCAAAUUAUGGACCUAGCAUAUAAUAGAUUGGAAGGGCAAAUUCCUGAAUCAUUUGGUGACUUGACAAGUUUGGAGGUUUUGAAUUUGUCAAAUAAUAAAAUCUCUGGGUCUAUUCCAAAAUCCAUGGAGAAACUCUUUUACCUCCGAGAGUUAAAUCUCUCUUUCAAUGAACUAGAAGGUGAGAUUCCUAGUGGAGGAAUUUUUGCCAACUUCACAGCUGAGUCAUUUAUGGGAAAUGAGUUAUUGUGUGGUUUACCAAAUCUUCAAGUCCAACCAUGCAAAGUUAGCAAGCCGAGGACAGAACAUAAAUCAAGGAAAAAGAUACUUCUCAUUGUGAUUGUUUUGCCAUUGAGUAUUGCUCUAACAAUAGCAAUCACUCUACCUCUCAAAUCUAAGCUGAUCGAAUGUGGAAAAAGAAGCACAGUGUUGUCAAAUGAUAGUGUCUUGUCAUCACAAGCAACACUAAGAAGAUUUUCAUACUUAGAACUUUUACAAGCAACAGAUAAUUUUGCUGAAAACAACGUAAUUGGCAUAGGAGGUUUUGGUUCUGUUUACGGUGGAAGACUUGAAGAUGGGAUGAAGAUUGCAAUAAAAGUGUUUCACCAGCAAUGUGCAAGCGCAUUGAAGAGUUUUGAGGCUGAAUGUGAAGUGUUAAAAAAUAUUCGCCAUCGAAACCUUAUUAAAGUUAUCAGCAGUUAUUCAAACAAUGACUUCAAAGCAUUAGUUCUAGAAUACAUGUCCAACGGGAGCUUAGGGGACUGGCUGCAUUCUAGCAAUUAUGUGCUGAAUAUAUUUCAGAGGUUGAACAUAAUGAUUGAUGUUGCAUCAGCUUUAGAACAUCUCCACUUCGAUCAUUCGACUCCUAUUAUUCAUUGUGACUUAAAGCCUAGUAAUGUAUUGUUGGACGGAAAUAUGGUUGCUCAUUUGAGUGAUUUUGGCAUAGCAAAGCUUUUAAGUGGAGAGGAUGAGUCUAUGAUGCGAACAAAAACCCUUGCCACUAUAGGUUAUAUGGCACCAGGUUUGCUUCAAACAACUUUUUUUUUUUAGUUCAUUUUAAAUUUUGCAACUUAUUGAUUUUUACGAUCCUCACAUCAAAAUGUUAUUGAUUAUUUAUCUAAUUUUGAAAUUAAUUUGAUUCAUAGAGUACGGCAUAGAAGGAGAAGUAUCUACAAAAAGUGAUGUUUACAGCUAUGGGAUUAUGUUGAUGGAAACUUUUACCAAGAAAAAACCCACAGAUGAAAUUUUUGUUGGAGAAUUGAGCUUGAAGCGUUGGGUUAAUGACUUGCUUCCUACUUCAUUAGUGGAAGUUGUGGACAAAACUCUGCUAAGUGGAGAGGAAAAACAUUCUGCAGCAAAGGAGCAAUGUCUGUUGUCUAUCUUUAGUUUGGCUCUGGAGUGUACAAUGGAAUCACCGGAAAAGAGGAUUAAUGCAAAAGAUAUUGUUACAAGAUUACUCAAGAUAAGAGACACAUUGAGUAAAAGGAUAGGAAAUUUAAGUUAAUUUCGUUUGCUUUCAUUGAUAGUUAAUUCGAAUUCAUGUAAUAAGUCUAAGAAUCUUAUAUCUUCAAAUUCGCAUUUUAAAAUGCACAAAUGUUUGUGUAUACAUAAUUAGUAAUCGAUUCUCAAGCUUUGGACAUUUAAAAGCACUGCUAAAAGACAAAAUUUUAAUUCACUAUUUUUUUGUCUUUUAAUUUUCUUUAAGUUUUAAUGAUUCCGCAUUUUAAAAUCCUGUGGAACGUGCAUGUAAAAUUCUUUUAUCUUUUAGAGGAAAAUGGGCAAGAGAAGAAGAUUUGGCAAAGGAAUUGCAACCGCAUUUGGAGCUAGUUUUAAUUUUGUCUUUUAAUUCUUUUACACUUGGCUUUUGUUAUUGAUGUUAACUUCGAUGUGUGUGCGUGUGCGACUGAAUUCAACUUACAUGCUAUUGAUGCAGCCACCAAAAAGGGGUGGUCCAUCAUCAAUCAACAAGGUUUAUUAUUAUUAAUUUCCAUAUUGAUUUUCUUAAUUAUAAAUAAUACUAAUGCUAUUUCAUAGUUAUAAAUAUAUUAGAAUUAAUCGAAAUCAUUUUUUAGUGUGGCAUGGCUAAAACUACCUUUUUUUUAUUAUAAGUAAUUACUACUUUCACAUUAAGAAAAAUACUCCUAUUUUUAAGGAAAAGUCAAGUACCUGUAGUUGUGAAGACUCGAGCUCACUCCCUUAUGAUAAAUCUUCAUAUUAAUUACGUAAAUAUCCUCUAAAAUUUUAAAUUAGCUAUUCAAAAUUUGAUGUUAUACGGGUAUUUCAUUUAUUUGAGUAGGGGUUAGGGGUCAAUUGGAUACAAAUUCAAAAUUAUCCUUACUUGAGAAGGUGAUAAAAAUUGGGGAUUUAGUUUGGAUGUCAUUAGCUACAAAUAUUAAACUCAUACAUUUAAUUCAAAAUUAGAGGGCUGAUAUAUGCGCAUCAUCGUCCACGUUAUAGUGACACUGCGUCACCAUUCCACAACCUCUCCAAUGAAAAAUUGACAUGCUUCUUGUGCGCAUCUAAUCAGAAUCUUGAAAAUUAAUCACAAAAUUGUACUUUUAUUAUAAAAAGAAUAAAGAAACUCCAAGAAAAAAAAAAGACUUACAUAAAUAGAUUGAAAAAUCUAGAUUUCAAGUUGUCUAUAUUAGCUUGAUAUUUUUAUUAAUAGUCAUCCUCCCAAAAAAAUUCCAUCAAAAUAUAUUUUAAUUUUAUGUUAAUUCAUAAACUUGAAAAAAUCAUUUUAGAAUUAAUUAAAACAUAAUUUAUUGUUGCUCAAAAAAGGUAGAACUUAGUUAUCAGAAAAAAGUGUCUAAAAUAUAUGUUAAAAAAAAAUCAUGGUUGGUUGGACUGAUUGAAUUUUUUUUUCUUUUUUAAGAAUUAAGACAAUUGGAUGGAUUGAGUAAUAAUAAUACAUAUUUAUUUGGCAAAUGGCAGGGAGGCUUUCGUCUGAUGCAGAUUGAUUAGAGAGAAAAUAUAACAAUUUUAAGCUCGUCAGAUUCGAAGCUGCUUACCUGUCGUGUGGGGAUCACUUCCGUGUCUUAUUUUUCUAGAAAAAUCUGGACCAUUGGAUUUACCAUUAGUCAAUAGAGAAAUGUUGAUCUUGAUUCUUGAUCAAGAUCGAAGUUUGAUUCUAACUAACACGAUAUCAGAUUGCGAAGCAAGCAAAUUGAAAGUCACUUGUUCUAUGGAAGAAACACAAGUUCUAAUAAAACAUUCUCAUAGUAAAGUGAAUUACCAUCCAACGAUCCAACUCAUGUUUUCAAAUUGUAAAUUGCAAAUCGUGUGUUUGCUCCAUUACAGAGUUUCUUCAAUCUGAAAUAGCGAAUCAUUUGUGUUCUAGAUUAAUCGUGGGUCUAUAUCCAAAUCUAAAAAUUGACUAACUUGAUUUCUAUUAAAUUCUUAAUCCUAACAAGAAAAAUUGAAGAUUAAAAACGACUAAUUUGGUACCAUACCACUAUUGUAACAUAGGUAGAUCCUCUAUUAAUUGGAGUAAAGAUUGAAUUAUCUCAUUUAUUAAGGUUUAUCAAAAUCUUGUGUCAAAAUCUAUUAAUGAUAUAGGUUCAAGGAUGAAAAAGUCACUGCAUUACUUUUGAGUUCCCAAAUAGAUGAAUGGAUGUUAUUUUUAGAUUCCGGAGAGUCGAAAAUAUUAAGAUAGGUGCUAAAUCGAAUUAAGUUGUAGAUACGAUAGAAAUGGAUUUGGAGAGAUUGGAAUCCUAGGUAAUCCGGUGCACGUUGUCGUGUUAAAUUCUCGUUGACUUCACGUUGACUGAAGCAUUAUUGGAAGAAACAAGUUUAUUGAUGUGAGGCCUUUGAGGUUGUAAGUGUUAAAUAUGAGAAGAAUACCCACACACCCAUUAUCCUAUUACUCUUAUAUCACAUGAAGAGAAUUCAACAUUUGAUUCACACGGAAAAAAUUUGUGAGGAUUGUGAGGGUUGAUGGAAUAUAAUUUAGAUACAAAGUGUUUUACCAGUGCGAUGCUUCGCAAGUGUUCUUGAAUCAAUAUAAACUCACGUUAUUUUCAUAGUGAUUGUUUCAUGUGCACGUGGAUAUAAUCACAUGUCGAGAUUUUUUUCCUUAAAUUAUGGUCUUAUUUAGUAUUAAGGUGUUAUAUCUUUUAAGGUACAAUUAUUGUUGGAAAAAAGUUGCAUCUAUCAAAUAAAAUUAGUACUAUGUGCUAAAUAUAAUUGUUAAAUAAUAAUUUUGACAAAAUUAGUGAAGUUAUAUAGAUUUUUUUUCAUCAUACAAGCAUAAAAUCAAAUCAACUUAACUUCUAAGUUAUAUAUCGGCUACUUAGGGAUGGCAAUGGAUUGGAUCUGACCCAAGAUCCACGUGAUCCAAAUCUAAUCGGAUCGGAUUUGGGUCAGUUUAAAAUGAAUUUGGAUCGGAUUUGGAUAUUGAUGUGCGGAUCUAAGACGGAUCUGGAGCAGGUCUGGAUCUAUCUUAGUAUCUAAAUCCAUAUCCAUAUCCACCCAUCUUUUAAUUUAAUUUUAUUUUAAAAGUUUCUUAACAAUUGUGGAAUUAUAAUGAUAAUGAAUUUUAUUCAUAGCAUAUUAGUGGUAUUUACCAUGCAUUUAAACUCUUUAAAAUUAAAGGUUAGUUUUGUAAAUUUAAAGACUAGCCAGGCCCAAAGCAUGUACAUGCAAUAUUCAAAUUGCAAGCCAAGUAAUACAACCUGGCAAUUUAUUUUAUUAUAUUGGCCAAAUAAUUUUUAAGGAAUAUAGGUAUUCAUAUAUUUUGUCAAAUAUGGUCAUAAUAAAAAUAAUAAAGGACUGAAUAUAAAUCAUAUUUUAUUUAUAUGUCAUUAUCUAAUAUUAUAAGAAUGAGGGUGGGUGUGUUGUAGAUAUUAGAAUGAUGAAUGAGACAAUAGAAUAUUAGAUUGAUCUUACUCCUGCAAUUACUUUUAAAGGAUAUUUUAUUAUCUUAUUUGUUGUUUUGGUGUAAAAGUAUAAGUUACAAUAUUUAUUAUAUUUUUGAGAAAAAUUAUAUAAUUUAUUUGUUAUCAAUACAUUUUAACCUUCAAUUUUCAUUCUAAAAAAUUAUUACUUUUUAAUUGAUGAGUUUUAGAAUUCAUGACAGAUCUAGAGCAGAUUUGGAUUUUAAUUUUUUUUUUCAGAUUUGGAGCAGAUAUAAAUAUUUAUUUCUUUUAUGGAUAUGGAUAUGGAGCGAAAAAUAUAGAUUCAUGAUGGAUCUGGAGCAGAUACGGAUCUUGAUUUUUAUUAUGGAUUUGGAUCUGGAGCAGAGUAGAUCCAACCCAUAUCUGCCCCAUUGCCAUCCCUACGGCUACUGUUAAUCAUAUGUUUUAGUUCUGUAACUUUUAAGUUAUAGUUACCCAAUCUCAAUUCUAAACCAGACCUAUAAAGAUCAAAGAUUUCCUCAUUAAAUUAUAUGUCUUGUGAUUGCUUAUUUAAUUUAUAUUUUUUUUUAUUUAUCUUUAUUAAUUAUAAUCAUCUUUUUAUAAAUUAAAAUUGAAGGAAGUUGAUUGAUGUUGUUGACACACGCACACACGCACACACUCACAAAGAUAUAUUGGAAGUGCUUACGUCGACUCGAAGUUGUUGGGAAUUAAUGCAUGUAUUGAUUUAUUGGGAGUGUUUAAAUGAUUUUUUGAUUUACUUGAUUUAUUGAUUGAAUAUUGUUUGAUUGCUUCAUAUCCAUUCUAGAAAGUUUAUUUCUUUGUGAAAUUUCAACGAAAUAUGUUUUUUUUUUUAAAUAAGGGUGUUCUAAAUAAUUUAAAAAUAUAUAUGGACUAAUUAGAAUUAAUUAUUAGGUAAUUAACUCAAUCUGUAUAGGGUGAAACAACAUUUAUCCUAAUUAUAUCAUGAUAAAUACUUUUCCUAUUAGAAUUAGGAAAUCAUAGGUUUAUUGAAUUGUUUUUUUUUUUCCUUUGCGGAAACGGAUUAGAGAAUUAGAAAACAAUCAUGUUGAUGUCAAAAUCUGAUCUAGUCGGUUAGCGACUUAAUAUCAUAUUACUGCACCAACAUUAAAUUUAUUGGGUGGAGAAUCGACUGGUCAAUUGUCAAGAUGUCCUGCAAUCACUAGCGAUUAACCUACGAAUACCUAAAAUCACAGAAGACGGUAAGAGGCACCGGAAGUUUUUUCGGCGUGAACCUUCCGACGCUCAAGUCAGUUUAUAGGUUUACCAUAAUAAAAAUAAAUAAUUUCUAUUUAAAAAAAAAUAGAGUUCAAAAGCUCAAAAAUAAAACCCAAUCCCAAUAUGAAAAUGAAUUUUUUUUUUUUUUUUUCUAGCUUGGCCGAAUCCUUCUGCCUCCUAAAGAAACAUAACAGAGAAGCAGGUAGCCAUGUUCCCUAGGUAACGCCCCACUCCCCUCUUUUAUUCCUCCCCCUCUCUUCCGUUUCCUUCUUUUGCUCACUAUCCUUCAUAAUUUUUUAUGCUUGUCUUCCCAAAAUAGCCUUUUAAUACACAAGUAAAUGUCUAGGCUUUGGUGAGGAUAGUUUGGUCAUUGCAUUUUACAAGUAAGAUGAGUGGUGGAGAAAAAUGAGGAGUGCACAUAUAACGCUUCAGCAAAUCCCACCAGCAAUUCCAUUUUCUUAAUUAAUUAAUCUCUUCAGCAAAUCCCACCAACUCUUCAGCAAAUCCUAAUGAUAUUAUUAUCAGGUUUAAAACAGUACACAAAUAGUGAAAAGCUAACUAGUCUGUAGAGUAAUUUGCUAAUUGCUAUCUCCUCUCUCCGCGCGCUGAAUAAUUUGUUGCAUGCAAACUUUUUAUUUUAUGCAAAUCGUACGUACUGUAACAUUGGAAUUGAUGUAAAAGCAAAAAUACAAGAAUAUUUAUGUCAAUAAAAAUAGUUUUUUUGGCCUUUUUAAAUAAACACAACGCGAUAUUGCUCUGCUCUACAUUUUUGCUAUCUCUUUAUUCUUCUUUUUUUUUUUGGGCUUCUUAAAGCCUCAAACUUUGAUAACCAAAACUUCAUCGACCUAUGAAAAAAUCUGCAGAUUAGUUUUUAUUAUCGGAAUAAUCAUUUGAGAAUACUAAAACAAAAUAUAAAUAAGAAAAUAGGAGGUUAAAUUAGAGGGGGGAAAAAAGGUAUGUUGGAUAGAUUACUAUAGUUUAAGAAAAAAAAAUCCAAUUGGGAAUUUUUUUCUUUAAUUUUUGUUUUACUUGAUUGAGAUUUCUCCUUGGUCCUUACAGUUUUAAGUUUGGAUGCCGUAGGGUUAGUAAUUUAGUACUUCCUUUGCAAGCUGAGUGCAAGAAUGAAAAUCUUUAAAGAAAUAAAAAAAAAAAAAAAAAGCAUACCAAUAGGUAAUUAUAAAUAACCAUACAUAAACAUAAACAAAAUGAGGUAAUUAUUAAUAUUAUUUUUUGUUUUAUUUCUUACUUGUCUAUUUUAUUUGCUGCUUGAUAACCCGUAAAUACUAAUCUAGUACUGCUAAUUUCAGACACAAAAUUUUUAACUCUAGGCUGCAGUUUUACUCAAAAUGAUGACCACUGGCUUCGCACCAUUUAACCGGCAUACAUUUCUACAAAUUGAACAAGGCUAUUGAUUUUCAUUAUUAUUUUUUAUUUUUUUAUAAAUUACUAUUUUAAUUUUCACUUUUCAUUGGGUUGUUUAACGGAUUAGUGAAGUUGGUGGUCGUGAUGCACUCACAAGGUACAAUUUUAUUUUAUAAUUUCAAAUUUGUAUUUUAAAAUGCAGGUACAUUAUGUAUACAUAAUUAUUGAUUUUCGUAUGUGGGUGUUUUGAAAUAUUGCUAAAAGACCAAACUUUAAUAAACUAUUUUUCAUCUUUUUUUUUUCCUAAAGUUUAAGUGAUAUCCGCAUUUUAAAUUCAUGUGGAACAAAAGCUAAUGUAUGCACAAAAUCCUUUUAUUUUUUCCGAGAAAAAUGGUUAAGAGAAGAAGAUUUUUCUCUUGAAAAAGAAAAACUAAUACGAUGCAAGCAUAGGAAAGAGGUCAGUGUUUUGGAUUAGAAUUUAGUAUUGAGCUGAAUUUUAUACUAAACUCUUUUAUAGUACUGCGAUUAAUAAACUCAUGAUUUGCUUUUGCUUUUACCUCAAGUGAAAGAAAGAGGAAACCUUUUGUUUUUUGUUUGAUUCUUGACUAUAGGUGUUACCUAUAUAGAGAGUUGAGGUAGCUGCCUUAAGUGAUGGUGAUAAAAAGAUUAAGCAGCGCACACAAUCUUACUGUCGUCCAGACCAUCCAGCUGUGAUGACUCUUGUUUUUUGGUUACAUUAGCUUUAGUGGAACGGAGGGCCAAUUUAACAAAGACUAGAUUUGGUGGCUUACUAUAAUGCUUAUUCUCAGGGAAUCUAAUGUUAUAAGAUGAUUUAAUGAUCUUCUAUGAUUGUGAGUAGUAUAGUAUAAUUGAAAAGAGCUUGGGCUCCUAUGAUGAAUAUUUAAUAGUAACACAGUACUGUUAUUGAAAAAAACACAGUUACAAUAAACUCUUCAUUUAUUCAUUGUGGAGAUUGAAUGGCAAACAGAGAAUAAAAUGAAGCAGAGGAAUCUCAUUGCCAGUAAAAUUGACCCUCUUUAAUGUUAUAUGGCACAGGUGUGUGUACAGCAAGAUCAAGUUACUUGCAGUUUUUAUUGUAAAAUAUAUAGGUUAUGACCAUGAUCAUUGUAGUUAGGUUUUGAUGAUUUUAGAUGCUUUUUUUAUUUUUUUUAAAAUUGUGACACCUUUGAUUUAUGGUAGUUUUGCAGAAGAAAAAAAUAUAUAUAAAAAUUAGGAGGGAUGAGUUAACUAACGAUUGCAAUCAUUACAGUAAUGUUGAUGAGUGAUACAUCAUUUGAAAUUUACUUGUCAGUUGCUGAAAUGAUGAAAAAAAACAGUAAACAAUAGCAGUAAUAUUUUUUGGCAAUAUAAAAAAUUAUUGCGGUUAUUUUUUGGCAAUAUAAAAAAAUUUUAGCAAAUAAAAAUUAAUUUUUUUCCGAUUAACUAAAAAAUUAAUUAAAAACUUCUGCGAUGGCAUUUUUUAUGGGUGCAUAUACCCUCCCUUUAAAAGAAAAAAUAAUAAUUAAUACUUAAUAUAGUAUUAAAUACGAAAAUAUCAAUAUUUGACUACACAAAUUUAAUAGUCUUGUGUAAUUAGUGAGUGAGAGAUUGGGUGUAUUGGAGUUUUGGGUAGUGAGCCAAAAUAUUACAAUACUUGUAAUCUUUAUUUCACUAGUGAAAUAUUUUCCUUCUGUUUUUGCCCGUGGACGUAGGCUAAAAGCCGAACCACGUAAUUUCUGGUGUCCUCUAUUGUACUUGUUCUUUAUUUGCUUCCAAUUUUAUUUUAACUGCGCGUCUGCUUCACCCAUCAAUUUCCUAACAAAUCUUGAUCCCAUGCACACGCAAAUAUGUUAAUUUCUAUACGCUUCACUUACCUGUAGAAUCAAUUAUCUAAAAUGCAAGUUUGUGGCCACAAAAAAAGCCAAAGAAAGAAGAUAAUAACAAUUGACUUGUAUAUUAUACUCAUACAAUCCACUCGACAUAAUGAUAUCAUUUUAAUAAGGCAAUGGCUGAUGAUCUCCAUUGAAAAACUAAUUCAAUUUUUUUGCUUCAUUUAACUUUUUGGUUGUUGAAAAUAACCUUAAUUAUCAAAUAAUUGGAGAAAGAGUAAAGAACAUUUAACAAAUUUAUGUGCAAAAAAAAAAAAAAAGAAGUUGAAGAGAAAGGGUGCUUGCAGAAGUGGGUGUCAAAGAAACAUCGGUCCAUAAGAAUUAUUGCGGUUAUUUUUUGGCAAUAUAAAAUAUUUAUAGCAAGUAAAAAUUAAAUUUUUUCCGAUUUACUAAAAAAUUAACUAAAAACUUCUGCCACAACAUUUUUUAUGGGUACAUAUACCCUCCCUUUAAAAAAAAAAUAAUAAUUAAUGCUUAAUAUAGUAUUAAAUACCAAAAUAUCAAUAUUUGGCUACUCAAAUUUAUAUCAUUAGGUCCUUAAAAUUAAAAAUUGAUGAUACAAAAGGAAAUAUAUAUAAAUUUCAUUCUCAUGGAAAGGAUUCUCUUAUAAUCUUAUAAUAUUUGAGUUUUGAAAUUUUUUGAAGCAAAUGUAAUUUUAUUUGUGUACAAUCAAUAUUUACUUAUUUAUUAUAUUUUAAUUUGUUAACUAUCAAUCAUUUAAGUAUAUUUAGUCAGAAAAAUUAUAUCAAGAGAGAAUCCUAAUUUCACGCAAACACAAAUACAAGAUAAAUAUGUCAAUUUCUAUACUAUCCACUUUCCUGUAGAAUCAAUUAUCUAAAAUGCAAGUUUGUGGCUACCGAAAACUCGCCAAAGAAAGAAGAUAAUAACAAUUGAGCAUUGAUAGCAAAACUAAUGCAUCAUUUUCUUCUUGACUUGAUGAGAUGGUGCCAUUACAAAAAAAAAAGUACCUUAAUUGACGGGCACUGAGUGAUGUGAAUACUACCAGCCAGUUCAUCUCUUCCAGUCUUGCUUAAUCACAAUCACAAACACCACGAGAUUGACAUUUGCAUUAUAUAUAUCUUCAGCAAUCGAAACACCUUGCAUUACCAAAUUAACCGGUAACAAACAAAGCAAUCUUUCAUGGAGAGAAACUUUAGUCUCAGUAUGAUCACUUUGUCAUUAACCCACUACCUGCUUCUUUGCUUGGUUGUUGCAGCAGCAGCAGCCGCAAGCAACAAUAUUACCACAGACCAACAAGCUCUUCUUGCCCUGAAAGAUCAUAUAACUUAUGAUCCAACCAACCUUUUUGCCCAUAAUUGGACCUCGAAUACCUCUGUUUGUACCUGGAUUGGCAUCACUUGUGAUGUCAAUAGCCAUAGAGUCACAGCCUUAGAUAUUUCUCAAUUCAAUCUACAAGGCACCAUCCCUCCUCAACUUGGAAACCUUUCUUCACUUACAACGCUUAAUCUUAGUCAUAACAAGCUUUCUGGAGACGUUCCAUCCUCCAUCUACACCAUGCAUUCGCUAAAAUUUCUUGACUUCACUGAUAACCAGCUCUCUGGUUCAGUGUCUUCCUUCGUCUUCAACAUGUCUUCAAUAUUAGAAAUUCUUUUGACCAAUAACAGAUUUUCUGGUGAGCUUCCGAAAAAUAUUUGCAACUAUCUUCCUUAUUUGAAAGCCCUUUUCUUAAACAAAAACAUGUUUCAUGGCAAAAUUCCUUCUGCUUUAUCAAAGUGCAAACAACUGCAAAAAUUAAAUUUGCAGUUCAAUAAUUUAUCCGGUGCAAUACCGAAAGAAAUCGGCAACUUGACUAUGCUCAAAGGCAUAUAUCUCGAAUACAACAAACUCCACGGUAUGUUCAUAAUACUAUGUAAAUGUUU